AAGGGAGGUCAAUUUGGCCAUCAUCUCAUGAGAUAGGAAUUCUAAUCUCCUGCAAUUUUCUAUAUGAAGAAAUGUCAACGAAGUGGGUAGACCAUUUCUAGGGAACGACAAGAGUGAUGCGCAGUUAUACAGAGUCAAAUCUUUAAGACAAUUGCUCAAGUGCGGCCGCAAGCAUUCUCCGCGACUAAAAAAUUGAAUCUCAAGUUUGGAAAGCGAGGAAAGCGACUCCUUCUCCAGUAACGACGACAGACCAGGGCAUCUAACUAUCUUCAGUUGUUCAAGAGAUUGUCGCAAGGACUCCGUGUUGACGAUGAGAGACCAAGGUAUCCAUCUUGUUCUGGUAGCCCUUUCAUGUAGAACCCCGCAGUCUGACACCCAAAGCUGUCUCAAUGAAGGAAGAUGAUCGGGCAAGUUUCCCCUCAGCUUCGGACAAUUCUCUAAACUCAGCUCCUCGAGACGAGGAAAGUCUAGAGAUUGACCUCUGCCUGGACAUGGUAGCCAUUCCGCCCACUCCGGCAUCUCUUUGAACUUUAGCUUCUUGAGAGAUUGAAAUGGUUGACUUAGAGAAGCUCCAUUACCCCCGUAGAACUCAACACCAAUGCUCACAACAAAUUUCAUCCUUUCUAUAUAGAGCUCUUCGAGAGCGGGUACCGCCCAACUGGUGGCAAUGACAGGCAGGUACUACAUUCGCUGAGACGCAUGACUUGUAUGUUGGAGAAGGAGGAGUCCCCCAACCAAUCCGGAAAGCUGGUUCCACCAUAAAAUCUGAUGGUGAGCUUCACCAGAUUUACGGAAGGUUGUAGGCUUUCAAGUACAUGUCUCUCUUUUACGGAAUCAUUUGCAUCCUCACGACCCCAUGCCAACUCUACUUCGUUGAGAUCUUUCUUAUCCUUCAAAUUGGCCCCCAAAGCAUCCAUAUGAUUGACGACAUUUUGCAGAUUCAAGAUAGAUAGUUUUCCUCGAAGGUUCGACAAUUGCCCCAGUUCACCAAUGCCACCCGACCUAGUAGAUUCCCCCAACACAAAAGCAGUCAAUGUUCUCAAACUUUUUAGUCUACACAUUUGCACCGGCAUCUCUUUUAUACAAGUUCCACUGAUAUCAAGAUGACGCAAAUUAAUCAAUUUCCUUAUGUCUGCAGGCAAUUCAACAAGAGAGGAACAACCGACCAACAAUAGAGUUUGCAAAUUGUAGAGAGUACACAUCAUACCUGGUAACUUUUUAACUGCAGUGUGAGAGAGAUCAACGUAGCGCAAGUUUAAGUGUUUACCAAUGUUAUCAGGUAAUUGCGUGAUAUUUUUAUAUCUUGACAGUGACAACACCCGUAAACAUUUUACUGAUGGUAACAAAUCGUCUAAAACCUUUAUGCUUACAUAUAGGCUCUUAUCCCACUUUCUGUAUGGUCUUAAAGACAUAGGAAAUAAGGUUCGCAAACACUUAAUUUCAUCCAAUGACUUAAAUUUUGCGGCAGUAUCAAAUCUUCCUCUCAUAUAUGACAAAUGCCUUACUCUUUUAGGAACUUCGUGCGACUCUCCCUCCUCCAACCUAAAACAAAAUUCUCCAGACACAAACAUAGCCAAAUCGUUAAUGAGAUCAUGCAUUGUGAAACUUGAUGAUUCCUUAAUUAAUGAUCUUUGAAGUAGUGAUCGUGACAAUAGUUCAUCAAAGUAUCUCUCACCAAGCUCUUCCAAUCCUUUACAACUCUCAACUUGUGGAAUUAAACCCACUGCCAUCCAAAGUAGAAUUAUAUAUUCCUUUUCAAAUUCGUAGUCCUUUGGGAAAAUUGAGAGAUAAGCAAAGCAUUGUUUUAAAUAAGUAGGGAGAUAAUGGUAACUCAAUCUUAAAGAUGGAAGAACACUUUUAUCAGUAUGCAAUAUCUCCCAAAGAUUGUUGUUCAAUAUGUGACUCCAUUCCUUGUAACCUACAUUACAACCUAAGAGACCCCCAAGUGCUUUUGCAGCUAAAGGAAGACCAUUGCACUUGCGUGCAAUUUGCCUACCAAUUUCUUCCAAGUCUGGAUGCACACUAGGAUUUUCAUUUCUAAAUGCAUGUUUUGCAAGUAACAACCAACAAUCUUCAUGCGACAAUUGUUCCAAAGAGUAAAUGGGAACGUGUGCACAAUGGAUGCAACACUUUUGUUCCUUGUUGUCACGACGGCCUUGCUUCCCCUCGCCCCAUAAGUAAAAGGAGUCCUUACAAUAUCCCAAUCACUAUAGUCGUCAUUCCAAAGGUCAUCCAACACAAAUAGGAACUUUUUCCCCCUCACUUGUUCCCUAAGUUUAACUUGAAGCAAACUCAUAUCUUGAAGACUGCAAGGUUUUGAGGUAAUUGAUUCAAUAAGGGUUUUAGUUACCCUAAUAGCAUCAAAAUCUUCGGAAACACAAGCCCAAGCUGUAACAUCAAAAUGCUUGUAAUGGAUGAGUUAACAGGACAUAUUCAAGAUGAUAUUCCUUGGUGUAUGCUUUUCGCAGACGAUAUAGUGUUGAUAGAUGAAACUCAGGAAGGGGUAAAUGCAAAGCUUAACCUUUGGAGAGAAGUGUUGGAAUCUAAAGGUCUUCGCCUAAGCCGAUCAAAGACAGAAUAUAUAGAGUGCAAGUUCAGUGCAAAUGGAGGCCAAAACGAGUUAGGGGUGAGGAUCGGAGAUCAAGAAAUACCAAAGAGCGACCGUUUUCGUUACCUAGGAUCUAUCUUGCAAAAGAACGGAGAAUUAGAUGGAGAUCUCAACCAUAGAAUACAAGCUGGAUGGAUGAAGUGGAAGAGUGCAUCCGGCGUGUUGUGUGACCGCCGUAUGCCACUGAAGCUCAAGGGAAAAUUUUAUAGGACGGCAAUAAGGCCGGCGAUGCUGUAUGGCACAGAAUGUUGGGCGGUGAAACAUCAACACGUACACAAAAUGGGUGUAGCGGAGAUGAGGAUGCUUCGUUGGAUGUGUGGGCACACGAGAAAGGAUAAGAUUAGGAAUGAGGAUAUCCGGGGUAAAGUAGGAGUAGCCGAAAUUGAAGGAAAGAUGAGAGAAAAUCGGUUACGGUGGUUUGGACAUGUGCAAAGAAGGCCUACUGACGCUCCGAUUAGAAGAUGCGACUAUGGGACAGAGGUUUAGGGCCGAAUGGGUAGAGGAAGACCUAGGAAAACUUUGGAAGAGACUCUAAGAAAAGACUUAGAGUACUUGGAUCUAACGAAGGACAUGACACAGGAUCGAGCACAAUGGCGUUCUAAGAUUCAUAUAGCCGAUCCCACUCAGUGACUUGGAUUUUCCAAGUCUCCAACCGAGAAGUUUUCCUCACUCGGGAAAUUAAGGGAACACUACCCCAACCUACAUGCUCCACUCAGAAAGCUUCAACUUACAAGCUUCAACAAAAGAAAAUUCAAAGAACUUAGCGAAGAAGGCUUUGGUGUAUUUAACACAAUACGUUGAAAUGAAGGAAAGCUUAUUUAUUGAUAUCCCCGAUAAGCUACAAAUAUGUACAUAUACAUGAGUCAAAAUAAACACACAAGAGGGAGCCUUCACAAAGGUUGCUUAGGAGAAGUCUCAGCAGUCGGUAGAGCCCUAGAAAGAGAAGGCACCGGAGGGGGAUCAUUUGGAGCCUCAGUACUGGACAGAACCCUAGAAGGAGGAGGCAUCAGAGGUUGAUCAUUUGGAGCUUCAUUACGCGGUACAGCCCCAGAAGACGAAGGCAAUAAAUGCCUUUGGAACAAACCCACAAAUCUCUGAUGAUCAAGUAAAACCUGACCAUCAGUUUCCUUCAUCUGGUCAAGCUUCCUCUUCAUGUUUGUAGCAUAGUCAUGUGCGAGCCGGUGCAACUGUUUAUUCUCAUGCUUGAGCCCCCUAAUCUCCUGUUUGAGACUCAUCACUUCAGCCGCCAAUGAUUCAACUUGGCGGGUUCGAGCAAAUAGGCGUUGGGCCAUAUUAGACACAGAACCUGCACACUGAACACUGAGAGCCAGCGAAUCCUUAACAGCUAACUCAUCAGACCGUUUGGAAAGUAGUCUGUUAUCUUUGGGAGUGAGAAGGUUCCUGGCCACCACCGCAGCGGUCAUAUCAUUCUUCAUCACGGAAUCCCCAACGGUAAGAGGACCAGUAGGGGAGACGAAGGAUGGGCGCCAUAUGUUGUCUGGAGAAGGCGGGGCUGCCUCUUCAACAAGGUUCAAGUCAAAACGACGGUCGGAGGGGCCAGACAUUUUCAAAGGUGUUGAAGAGAGAAGAGGUCGGACAAAUCAAGAUCUUAGAAGUGCAAGAAUGAAGCUUCUACUGGUGGAGAUUCAAGUGUGCUUUGGAACUUAAUGCCAGCCCCUAUAAAAAUCUGCACUCGACGGAGCUUCAGAAAUCAAAGAGGCGCCUGCUCAGAAAUCGAAGAGGCGUUUGCUUUCUCAAAAGCUGGGCUGCUUAGAGAUCACGAGGGUUGAUCUCAGAAAUCGAAGAGGCGUUUGCUUUCUCAAAAGUUGGGCUGCUCAAAGACCAUGAAGGCCGAUCUCAGAAAUCGAAGAGGCGCUCGCUUUCUCAAAAGCUGGGCUACCCAGAGACCACGAGGGCCGAUCUCAGAAAUCGAAGAGGCACCUACUUUUUCAGCCUUGUCAGCACCUGUCACACGCACACUCAGCUUUGCGGAAAUUAUAGGCAUUCUGUCAAAGACUUCUGGGGAAGUAGAAAACACAUGAAUCUUACUGUUCAAUCACCCACUUCCCACACGCAACAAUAGCUCAUGGGUACCACAGAUAACUUUGCCAAAGUUCUCUGCCAAAGUUGAGCACGUGAAGCUUGCAGCUCCCACUACAUCGCUCUGACCAAGAAGGGUAAAAGAAUAGCAAUUUUAACACUCCCAACAAGAUUGCUUGCUCCAAAAUCGAAGAGGCACCGCCCUCCGAAUCUCGAGAGCCAGACUCCCAACAUGAUUACUUUCUCAAAAAUCGAAGAGACACUGCUCCUCGAAUCUCGAGAGCCAGACCCCCAGCAUGAUUACUUUCUCAAAAAUCGAAGAGGCAUCGUUCUCCGAAUCAAUCGAAGAGGCGCUCGCUUUCUCAAAAGCUGGGCUGCUCAGAGACCACGAGGGCUGAUCUCAGAAAUCGAAGAGGCACCUACUUUUCUAGCCUUGUCAGCACCUGUCACACGCACACUCAGCUUUGCAGAAAUUAUGGGCAUUCUGUCGAAGACUUCUGGUGAAGUAGAAAGCACAUGAAUCUUACUGUUCAAUCACCCACUUCCCACACGCAACAAUAGCUCAUGGGUACCACAGAUAACUUUGCCAAAGUUCUCUGCCAAAGUUGAGCACGUGAAACUUGCAGCUCCCACUACAUUGCUCUGACCAAGAAAGGUAAAAGAAUAGCAAAGAAACAGCACUAACAAAGUUUAGACACAUAAAUUUUGAAGGUCUAGCUACCAUAUUAUUACCCACAAGGGUAAAGGAACAGUACCACUGCUGGAUAAUUGAAAAGUCCCUGUGUGUCAACCUCUGUGCUUCGUGGCAAGGUAGACUAGCAAACAUGCCCAACCUUUACUCACAUUCGAGAAAACACUCCCAACAAGAUUGCUUGCUCCAAAAUCGAAGAGGCACCGUCAUCCGAAUCUCGAGAGCCAGACUCCCAACAUGACUACUUUCUCAAAAUCGAAGAGAGGGUAAAGGAACAGUACCAUUGCUGGAUAAUUGGAAAGUCCCUGUGUGUCAACCUUUGUGCUUCGUGGCAAGGUAGACUAGCAAACAUGCCCAACCUUUACUCACAUUCGAGACAACACUCCCAACAAGAUUGCUUGCUCCAAAAUCGAAGAGGCACCGCCCUCCGAAUCUCGAGAGCCAGACUCCCAACAUGAUUACUUCCUCAAAAAUCGAAGAGACACUGCUCUCCGAAUCUCGAGAGUCAGACCCCCAGCAUGAUUGCUUUCUCAAAAAUCGAAGAGGCAUCGUUCUCCGAAUCUCGAGAGCCAGAUACCACAGACCACUUUUUCAAAGUGCUCUGACAGAGUUAAAACAUGUGAAACUGACAGCUCCCACUACCGUGCUAUGACCAAGCAGGGUAAAGGAAUAGCAUUACUACUUGUUGUUAGGGAGACUCCUAUAUAUGUCGACCUCCAUCCCCAACGGACAGGCAGACCUGCAAAAAUGCUCAACCCUUCAUCAUAUCUGAGAGGGCACUCCCAACGAAGCCUUUCGAAAUAUUCAGCUUUCUUUCCCCCCGAUAAUACCUCUGCAAACAAGCUAUACUAGAGCAAGAAUAUCUCAUAUCAUCAGGGUUAAAAGCAAGAGUAUCCCAUAUCAUGCUUUUUCCCUGUCUUUUCUUUUGGCCUUGUUUUUACCUGCAAGACAAGGAGAAAGAGAGCAAUCAGUCAGCACUUGGAAUCAAGCUUCCAGCUAGGAACUGACUGCCUGGAACCCCUUACCUGAUUACUUACCUGGCAUUGCUCGAGUACUCAUCUUCAACAUCUUAUGUUUCCAGGGAAGAUUCCGCAUCUGCUUGAGGAACAGAUAGAGCAAGUGCAAAGGAUACAAGGAAGCAUGUGGAGACAAGCGUAACAGCACACGUGCCGAUACAUCCAUUACUCUGUCAAAAGCAAAAGUAUCCCAUAUCAGCAGGGUGGAACGUACUCUAGAUUUGAUGGACUUGUUUUGACCCUCAAAUUCUUCAGUCGGCCUUAUACUCUGGAGGAAACCAGAAAACCCUCCAGCUCAGUUCAAGAAUAAGCCUGUGGAAAGUUACUUCUUCAAAAGCAAAAGUAUCUCAUAUCAUCUCUUCUCAUUUUUCUUCUCUUUAUCCUUCAUGCUGCUGCAAGAUGGGGAGAAGGUGAACAAUCAGUCGGAGCUCUGAUUGCUUACCUUGUCUGUCACCUCUUUCAGCAGACCCCCCUAGCUCGGCGACUUGGGGGACUCCUACUACAUGGUUUGUAUCGCGCUUGACCAAGCCUGAAACUACAAGUAAGCUUCAAGUGAAAUUGAUACAUUACCUUGUGCAUCUCCACCAGUUAAAGAUACCACCCCUGGAUGGAGGAAGAGUACUUCCAGAGAAGAUGCCACAUCUACCUAUGAGACGGAUAAGGCAAGUCAAGACGACACCACACUCCGAUACUUAGAAGUUUCGUGAUUACGAGAUCAUUCUCCCACAAUAUUUCCUAAUGUCAUUUGUACUAAAUCAUUCACUUGUACUCACUAAAGGAGAGCUUGAACCUAUGUACUUGUGUAAACCCUUCACAAUUAAUGAGAACUCUUCUAUUCCGUGGACUUAGCCAAUCUGGGUGAACCACGUACAUCUUGUGUUUGCUUUCCUAUCUCUAUCCAUUUAUAUACUUAUCCACACUAAUGAUCGGAGCAAUCUAGCGAAGAUCACAAAAAGCGACCGUUUUCGCUACCUAGGAUCUAUCUUGCAAGAGAACGGAGAAUUAGAUGGAGAUCUCAACCAUAGAAUACGAGCUGGAUGGAAAGAGUGCAUCCGGCGUGUUGUGUGACCGUCGUAGGCCACUGAAGCUCAAGGGAAAAUUUUAUAGGACGGCAAUAAGGCCAGCGAUGUUGUAUGGCACAGAAUGUUGGGUGGUGAAGCAUCAACACGUACACAAAAUGGGUGUAGCGGAGAUGAGGAUGCUUCGUGGGAUGUGUGGGCACACGAGAAAGGAUAAGAUUGGGAAUGAGGAUAUCCGAGGUAAAGUAGGAGUAGCCGAAAUUGUAGGAAAGAUGAGAGAAAAUCGGCUCCGGUGAUUUGGACAUGUGCAAAGAAGGCCGACUGACGCUCUGGUUCGAAGAUGUGACUACGGGACAGAGGUUCAGGGCCGAAGGGGUAGAGGAAGACCUAGGAAAACUUUGGAAGAGACUCUAAGAAAAGACUUAGAGUACUUGGAUCUAACGGAGGACAUGACACAAAACCGAGCGCAAUGGCGUUCUAGGAUUCAUAUAACCGACCCCACUUAGUGGGAAAAGGCUUUGUUGUUGUUGUUGUUGUUGUUGUUGUUGUUGUUGUUGUUGUAUCAUUGUAAAGGAGCUGGGCAAGGGUUGUCUUACCAACUCCCCCCAUCCCAACUAUGGCGAGUACGGAUACGUUAUUGCUACUAAUUGUAUCAUCAGAUAGCAACAACCUUGUCAACUUUUCUUUAUCCCCGUCCCUACCACAAGGACUAAAUUCAUGCUCAACAAGGGAAGUUGUGAGUUUUCUUUGAGAAACAUUCUCCUUAACACCUCCUACAAGACCAAGGAGAUCUUUUUGUUUGGCAAGAUGUUCUAACCUUUGGAAUAACUCUUGUAUCCUACCAUUCAUGCCUUGACAAAAAGGACUAAAAGAAGUAGAGAGGAAGUUCCACACCUGGGACGUCUUUUUGGUUUGAUAUUCAUCAGCUUCCACCUUGCUUCGCAAAACUUCAGUAUCGAUCUCAGCCAGAAGGUCCUCGGCAUCGAAGACGGCAUGUUUGAGCUCGUCGAGCCACUUUCUCACACGAGGUUUCUCAAUUUGCUUCUCCUCUGCAUCAUCGAGCACUGCAUCGAGGGUCAGAAAAGUCAGCUUCAGUUUCUCCAAGAGUGAAUGGUCAAGCUUUUUUCCCCGUAAGAAGUCCAUGAACUCCCCAGAAGCAAUCUUGUCGCACAGCGUCUGAAUGGAAGCGGAGAGAAAAGCCUCUCCAAUCAAAGCUCCUGCCAUUUCUCUCUCUCUUUCUCUCUGUUUUUUUUUUUUUAUCUUCAAAGAAGUGUUGAGGUGAGGAAGAAGAAGAGUCUUAUUAGCUUAAUUUCGUUUCGGAAAGAGACCCCACACGUUAAUCAAAGAGUCUUAUUACCUAUAAUUUAAGUGACAAUUUCCUAGUAGUUGGUUUGGUUGGUGUGAGAGUGCGGGUUGGGUGGCUAUUUUUUAGUUAUUAACCAUAACAUCACUUUUGUUUGUUGAUAAUUUGAUAUUAAGCCGCGUUGGAAUUUUGCUUUUGGGCGGAUACAACACAGGAUCUUUAAAUUGAUCACCUAAUUAAUUAAAAUUAAAAUUGUAAUCUUUUGUUUAUUAUGUUAUCAUGUCAUCAUGCAUGUGAAAAGAAGUCACACUGACCUGGUUAAUUAAUAUAUUGGAGUUAUAUUACAAGUUGUUAAACUCAAAAAUAGAUGGGAUCUCUUUUUUUUCAUCCCUUGCCAGGUCUUAUAAUUGGCUUGUAAAAUAGGAGAGCUUCAACUCGAGUCCAAGCAGGCAACAAUACAAAGCCUUUCAUCAAAAUUUUGUCAUCCAAGUGCACCUAGCAAUCCCUUCUUCUAGUUGUCCACCCAUUUUUCGAUUGGUUACCAAUUUCUUCUUUUGCAGUAUGUCGAGAUUAAAAUGAAUAAAAGUGAAUUAAAUUAGUAUCAUGCAUCGUACAAAGACAUACUUAGAACGAUAAUUACAAUAAAGGAUGUUAUCAGUACUUUGCUUCAACAUCAAACACCAAAUAUAUUGUUGGAAACAAAUAGCAAGAUAAUGCAUUUACAGAUAAUAUUUUUUUAGAGUUUAUUGCCUUCAUCGUGAGAUGAUGACCGCGAUUUCUAUUAAUUUUGAGCAAUAUAGAUAUUAUGAAUAUCUGAUGAAUGAAAAAAAUGGAAUGCCAAAAACAGCAAUGUACUGAGACUUAUAAAACACCAAAGUUUUAAACAUGAAGAUUAAAAAGAUACUUAUGACAAAAAGAAUUUUUGGCAUUUUAGCUAAAAUGAUCUCUAAGAUUGAUAUAACUCAUCACUUUUGGUCUCCGAGAUUUGAAAUUAAUAGAGGUGAUCCUUAAGUUUGACUAUCAUCAAUCAUUUUGUUCAUUCUGUAAAAAAAAAUGUUACAUAAGGACCAAAAUGACAAAAAAAACCCUUAAUUUAAUAAAAUAUGGCCCAAAAUGAUUUUGACAAAAUUAAGAUCAUUUUUAUCAUUUUAUCCUUAUUUAACAGAGAUUUUUCGCAUAAUAGUCAAAAUGGUUUAUGGUGGAUAAACUCAGCUCAAGGACCAAUUUUAUUAAUUUUAAAUCUCAAAACUAAAUUGAAAAGUUAUAACAAUCUCAGCUUCAACUUCUCCAUGAGUGAAUGGUAAGUUUUUCCCGCCGGAACAAGUCCAUAAACUCGUCAGAAGCAAUCUUGUCGCACAACCUCUGGAUGGAAGAGGAGAGAAAAACCUCUCCAAUCAAAGCUCUUGCCAUUUUCUCCCCCUCUCUUUUUUUUUUUUUUUUUUUUCGGUCCUUCAAAGAAAGUGUUGAGGUGAGGAGGUGAGGAAGAACAAGAGACGACUUGAUACACUUUUGGUCAAUAAUUGAGUGGACCCCACACGUUAAUCAUAGAGUCUACUUUUUUUUUAAUUUUUUUUUAUAACAUAUCAGUCUUAAGAAUUUCUUAAUAGUUGGUGUGAGAGUGACAGAGUGGGUUGGGUGAAUUUCAGUGGACCUCACACGUUAAUCAUGCAUGUAAGUAGCAAUCACAUUGACUUGGUUAAUUAAUAGAUUGCAGUUGGACUAUAAAAAUAGGAACAAUUUUUCUUUGUAUCUGGAACACGAGUGGUAUAGUGUAUGUCAUUAUAUAAGUGAAUGAAAAUUUUAUUUUUUAAGUUGUUAAUAUUUUAAUAUAAGUAUCCCACAACUCGUAUAGUGACACGUGAUGUAUCACUUCGUGUUCUGAUUGCAUUGAAAAAUUCUCUUCAAAAUAGAAGGGCUCUCUAUUUUUACUCCAUUUGCUAGGAUAGAUUUUUCAUUGUGAUCAGAACACGAGUGAUAUACCAUGUGUUUUAUAUAAACGGUGAGAAAUUUUAUUUUUUAAGUUAUUAACUUUUUAACACACAUAUCCCAUCACUUAUAUAGUGACACGUGAUGUACUAACUCGUGUUCUGUCAUUAAAAAAUCUCUCCCUUGCCAAGUCUAAUCAUAUGGUCUAUGGGGAGAUCAAAGCUUCUACGCCCAAAAUGGGCGUGGUAUCUCUAUACCUCAAAUUAUUGUUUGACACACAUUAAGUCUAUGAAAACAAAGUUAAGAAUAAUUGGAGCCAAAGAGAGACUACACUCAUCUUAGAGACAGAAAAUUUGAUCACGUUCUAGAAAUGUCAAUGGGUUGUAAAAGGAGUGAUAUUCACACACUCUUUUUUACUUCUCACAUACCAUUUAUUAAUUUAUGUUAUUUAAUUUUUUUUAAUACAUUCGAUCUGACGGCCUAAAAUUAAGAAAACAUAUGAUAAGUAAAAAGAAGUGUGUAAACAAUAUAUUUCGCCGUAAAUUAGGGGAACUUUAACUCGAUUCUAAGCAGGCAACAAAACAUUGUCUUUCAUCAAAAUUUUGUCCUCGAAGUGCGCACCCUAAGCAAUCCCUUCUAUUUGUCCACCCAUGACCCAUCCUUUUCAAUUGGUUACUAAUUUCCUCUUUUGCAGCCCGUUUAGACCAAAAUGAAUCAAAGUGAAUUAAAUUAGUAUCACGCGUCAUAUAAUAUGUGUUCACGCUCAGAAUGAUAAUUACAUCGAACAAAAUAAUAUGCGUCAACUUCAAACAACAAACAUAUCAUUAAGAAUAAACAGCAAGAUCUUGCAUCUAUGAAUCCUAAUUUUUAGAGUUUACAACCUUCUUCGUGAGAUGACUCCAAGUUCUAUUAAUUUUGAGCCACAUAGAUAUUAUGAUGGAUGAAAAAAAUGAAGGCAAAAAAACAGCAAUGUUCCGUGACUUAUGAAACACCCAACUUUGAACAUGAAAAUCUGAAAGAUAUUUCUCUAAAAACAAUUUAUUUUAAAGAAAACUUAGAAGGCCUCACUAUAAACAUAAACGAUCUGGGAGGGAAUAAACAUUCGGGAAGAGGGAGAGAGUUUAGAGAUGUGGUUUUGUGGCGUUUGGUACUUGGAGUGAGACGGAACAGGUUCGUCUCACGUUUGGUGCGACAAAAAAAUGAGACGCACCUAUUCUUAGAAUGAAUUUUAGUUUAAUUUUUGUACCACGCUCCCUCAUGAAAAAUGACUUAUUUCACUCCAUGGAACGAACUUAUUUCACCCCAUGAAACACAAAAAUACCCCUGCUGUUUUUCAAUAAUUCUACUACCAAAUCAUAAAAACAAACCCUAAUCUUGUGUCUUUCUUCUUUCCUAGUAGCCUCUCUCUUUCUCUCCCCGUCUUCUCGGCGGAGAGGCUCCAUUCUCUACUUCGUUCACUACCUCUCUCUUCUCUCGUCGCAGCAUCUCAAUAUCUUCCCGCUUUGAUUUAAUUGUCAGUUUUUCUGAGUUGGUUGUGAUUUUCCUCAUUCAGUUAACCAUGGUUUUUUUAGGUGUAGAAGUGGAAACCCCUAGAAAUUUAUGGGUUUUCACUGAAAUUGAUUUUCCGUACCACAAGCUUUGUACUGUUUGGGGUUAAGGGUGUAAUUUAGAGGUAUACAUCCAUUUCUGUGUUUAAGUUUAUGCAACUAUUGGCUGAGAAAAUGAAUCGUUUCUUAAUUUUUCCUUCUUAUAAGCUAAAGAGAAUAUGGCUGCUGCGAUGAAUGUGAAAUAAUUACCCAGAAAUACAUUAUUACCCGGAAGAACCUAAUAAACUUCUUCAUUACCAACAAAUAUUAAUAUUCAUUAAGUGUCAUUGUCACAAAUAUAUCAUAAAAUAAGCAAGGAUAAGUUGGCCUUUUAAUUUUUUUGUUCUAUUCCGCGUGAACUAUCAAACGCGAAACAGAACAAUUGACUCAUUUCAGCAUGUAUGUACCAAACUAUAUUCGAACCUCUGCUCCAUCCUAUUUCUAUCCCGUCUACACAUCAAAUGCUACUUUAAUUCUUUUUAAAUUUGAAUUUUUAAUUUUUUUAAUCUUAUUUUAUUUCUGUGAUUUUAAAUGCCCAUAAACUAACUGAAUAGUGGAGCAAAAGUGGAGAGAUUUCACCUGGAAAUUGUAUUAAUGGUAUCUCAACUUUAACUCAAUUAGAGCAAUGAUCAUUCAACUAAAAAUUCCUAAUCAUUGGUCACUUUACUCAACAAAACGUGCAACUAUGGACAUUUUCAACAACUCUGUCAGAACUUUCGUCAAAAUGAGACUAAAUCAAGGGGCAAAUAUGAAAAAUCAAAUGAGAAAAAUUGCAGCAAUGAUCCCUCAACUUUAACCCAAUUAUAGCAAUGGUUCUUCCAACAUGACUUAUUUUGACGGAGUUUAUAAAAAUGAUCAUAGUUGCAUGUUUUGAUAAGUAAAAGGGACUAAUAAUUAUGAAUUUUUAGUUACGGAACUAUUCCUCCAACUGAAUUAAAGUUAUGUUACUACAAUUUCUCUUAGCAGCAAUGGGGGUAUUUAGCCAUAAAUAAAAGUAUAUAAUUAAAUUUCAAGGGAAAAUUCGACAAAUAGUUAAAACGAAACUAAAAAUCAGACUUGAAAGUAUAACUUCAAACACAUUAUUUGGUUUUAACGAAAAACAAGUCUAAUUGAAGCAACAGAAAUGUGUCCCGCCACUAAUCACCGCGCCUUCUCUUGAAGCGCUUACUCUCUCUCUCUUUCUCUGUCUAUCUCUGAGUUGCCGUAGCAUCGACCACUCCAGAAAACCGUACGUCUCCAGGUGCCUCACUCCGCAUUCAAAGUGAAGCCUUUUUAGGGUUUCAUUUCAGCAGGGCCUCUUUGGAGUGUUGCAAUUUUCAAGCUAUAAACUUUUCCCUUAUCAUCCCACUUCCAGCAUUCUCAAAUUUGCCAUAUUUUCCUUAUCUUCAACGCCUUUGUCCUUUUCGCAGAAAGCCCGUCGCCAAUUGAUUCAAUCCGUAGCAGAUUUUGGCGCGAAGAAGCUCCAUUGAUCCCGAAUACACAAAUGUGUUGGAGCAAUGAAUAGGGCACCUCAUAUGAGGCAAGAGUAAGAGGAACAAAGAAAUAGCCUUUUUACUUUGCAUUAUACUCCCAUUGCUUCCAUUGUUAUUUAUUUGGAAUUCGGGUAUGUUCAGUCGUCCCAAUCUGGGUCAAGAUUUCUGUGCCCGGACGCCUGUUAAAGCUGAUUUGUUGGAACAUGUCAAUGCAAUUGAUAAUUUCUCGUGCCCGCAUAGUGUUCUGAGUUCAAAUUUUAUUUUCUCCUUACCAACACAAAAACCUCUGGCCGAAGAGGCAAUGGUUUCUGGGGUAUGUCGCGGUUAUACGUGUUUUGUUUCAUUUUUGUUUGUUUGUUUUUUUUUUUUUUUUUUUUUUCGUGUACUGUUAUUUUUUUUUAUCUUGAGGAUUACUUGUUAUUUGGUGACAACUUGACAUCAGUUUUUGUGUUUGGUGAUUGUGGUCUUUUGCUUGGGUAAAAUAUAGCUCUUGUGUUUGUGUUAGUUACAUGAUUUAUUGUUUGUUUCAGCUAAUUUUAAGUUUCAUCAUACCUUAGCGAUCAGGGCCGGUUCUGAGAUUUUAGGGGUAUGGGUCCUUGCAUAAAAGAAUCCCGCUAUAGUGAAGCUAAUUUAUGUGUCUAUAGUUGUAUUAAUAUGGUAUCUAAAUAGAGUAUUAUUACUCAUGAGUUAUGGUUCAAAUCAACACUAAUCAUGAAAGUAAAACGCAAUUUAGAGCUAAGCCAUCAGAACCAAACUAAGAAACAUAAAAGUGAUUCCUCUAAUACAGAUGGAGGCCAUUAUUCUCUUAUUCACAUACAAAUCCUAAAAAAUUUCCCUAAGAUGAAUUCUUUUUACGGAAACCAAGUUGGUACAUAUAUACAUAUGAUAUCAUCAUUUAGGAACCCCUUAAGAUUGGGGGCCCUGUGCAAGGGCACCUAUUGCACAUGCCCAAAGCCGCCACUGUUUGUGAUAGAUAUAUAUAAUAUAUCAUUUUAAGAAUGGAUGUGAAUUCCAUUUUUUGUUUUCCUCGAAUCAAUCAUUUCUGACUGUUGGAUACUCCUAGUUCUUGAUGGUAGACAUGGAUUUUUAUGCAACUAUCGAUACUACUACCUCAAAGCAUUUAACCUGGUAUGUAUCUUGGUUCUCUUUAUGCUUUUAGCUCAAUGGCUUGUCCAAUUCAGAAUACUGAAAUAUCUUUGAGGUUGUGAUAAAAUCUAUACCUAGUAAUAGAUGGUUAAGUGAAAACAAUAUUGGUGAAUGAAUGAAUGAAUGACAUGAUAGGCAACACCUAGUAAUGAUAACACCCGCAUUUAGUAAUCUUAGGCCUAAAAAGUUUGUCAUGUUGAGCAUGUUAUUCUUUUGACAUGAAAUGAAUGAAUGGAUACGCUCUUCAAAGGUUGUGUUUGCUCUGGCAUAAUAAAUGAGUUAUUGGUUUUGUUAUUCCACACUUAGGAAUUAAAUAGUAGUGCUACGUACUAUCCUAUGCAAGUCUUAAGAUAUUUAACUAUCAACUGUCAUAUCAAGUGGUCUACAAAAUAUUGUCUAAAAACAUAUUCUCCGUAGCAUUUUCCUUAAAAUUUUAGUUUGUCAACCAAAAAGUAAAUAAAUUUUUAGUUUUACGUGCUAGUGGAGUACACGUAGCAUGAGUAGAAGUGAAAAAGUUAAAAUAAGGUUGCUAACACUCCCCUUCAUAUUUUAGCAAAGCUCAAUAAUCAUUUCAUAUCCUCACAUAGGUUAACUGAAACAAUUAUUCUAUUCAACUUUAGGUCAAUAAUUUUUUUUCUCUAACCCAUGCUCUUCAACGUAUCUGCAGCAUCUACCUGAAGAUUAAAGUUUAAUUGAAAGAUGAGAAAAUCAUGCCGCCGUAUUCAAACAACACCAGUACGUGAAAACCAUCAUCCUCGGUUGGCGUUACCUUUUUCGAUGCAGAAGCAUUAUAUUCGUGCUGGAUAGGCAGAGCCACUGAGCGACAUUCAAGGACUACUACUUGUCGUAGUUUUGGUUCCCUCAGAUAAUCACGUCUUUACAUUUCCACUGAAUGCACAUAAAUAAGUCACUCCCAUCACAAACUGUCCAGGCCGUCCGCUUCAUCCGUUUCCUCCAUGCGUUAGUUCUCGAAGAACAGAUUCAGCUUGGGACUUUUCAAUUUUAAAAAACUAGAGUAAAAACAAACAAGAAAAAAAAAAUCAAGUGAAUUGGAAGUUCAGGAAUGAUUUAGCACCAAAAGCAAUUAAAACAUGUCUAGAGCAACAUUUUGAUCAAGUAUAUAAUAGAACAAAAGUAAGAAUUACCUCUCUAAAAGUUUUACAGAACAAAAAUUGGACAGCAUUUCCCACAUCCUCAGCAGCUAAUGGUGGCCUGGGGUAGGGGAAGCUCAAGAUCAACCUCUCUGCUCUCAACACGGAGUUCCUUGCCCCUGUGGCACCCUCUUGCAGCCUUGUCCUUGCCCUUGGAAUCAUUCUCAUUCACAGCAGCACCACCAUCUCUGCUGCAUUACAAGUUUCCAUCAACUCGUCCUGCUUUGCUGCAUCCGAGUACUUCACAUCUUCGCUCUGAUCAAGGGCUUUCUUCCCUCAUUUGCUAGGUGAAUCAACACACUUUGCCUGCCAAAACUCGAGACCAUAAGCCCUCUUAAACAGAAUUAAAACCAACCAACAACAUCAAUAUGCACCAUCUCUGCUGCCAAAAUCAACCUCUUGAGUCUCAAUAUUCCAAGGCCACUCCUAGACUUUACGAUGCUUUAUGACUGCCUUGCCAUUGACAUCCUUAUUGCUCAUAGUAGCCGCACCAUCUCUGCUGCCAUUACAAAUUUCCAUUAACUCUUACUGCUUUUGUUUUCUUAGUUUCUUCCUGAUCAGAUUCGGAGAUGCAUCCACGUUCAUAUCUUUUCUUCCAUCAAGAGACUUCUCCUUCCCUCGUUUUCUUGGUGAACCAACACCAGUUUCCUAUCAAAACUUGAGGGCAUAAAACCGCUUAAACAUCACUAAAACCUUUUUUGAAUCCAUACAUUUUUGCGGUGAACCAUCCUUGCUUCAGACAUCCAUCUCCCCUUGUUUCUUCGGCUUGUACACAGUCGAAGGGACUGUUCGUAUUUUAUUAGAUUCCAACUCCAGUCGCCUGUCACCACCACACAUAGAAAACAUACGUUUUUGUCCUGAUACGACUCAAGGGAGAGCUCAUAAGAUCCCCAGUUGUAGAGCAAAAUGCUGUAAUCUCUCAGUUCUUUUCUUUAAGGAGAGUAUGUGGACAUUCCAACAAAAUUCAUGGAGGGCAAGUGCACAGUUAAUGCAAUGAAAGAAGACAGCUUUACCUUCAGAUCGAUGCAUUCUCCCACUUCAUUUCCACAUCAAGUUGUGAAAAUCCUGUUUCUUCUCAUAUCUGUUCCGAUAGGAUGCCAACACAAGUGCUUUUCUUUUUCAUACCCCAGCUCAACAUGUAUGAAUACUGCUAAAUUCCAACAAGGGCAAGCAUGAGGGUGGUGCUCCAUAGAAACCUGGCUCUCAUUUUGUUUUGUGGUCAUCGUCACCUGUUCUCACUUCAACAGAGCUGUGUAUGUACAAAAAUAUAUCUGCACCCACCCGAAGAUGGCAGCAACAUGAAGAGAAGAUGAAAAGGAAUGCUGCUUGUUUGAAAAUAAAGCAAUAUAUGAGUAAAACAUCAUUCCUGGGGUUACCUAUCCAAUUGAAGGAGAAUCAUAUUCAUGCCACACUGCAGGACAACCAUUCAUGGACAGCUAAUUGAUGGGCGUUAAAAUCAUUGGCCUUACAUAAUCCAAUCUUUACAGUUCCACAGUUUGCUAUCUGCCUCAGCAAAGCCUAUGAACACGUUAGUGACAUAAUUUUGCCUUGAAAGCAUAGUUGAAUUUCACUGUUAACAUUUGACUAGUCUAUAAGCCUAAAUGAUUAAAGACAAAUUCUACAGAUAAGGUGCAACAUAUUUACAAAGGCAUUAGGAAUAAUGCCUUCACAAUUUUCCCUACAUUUCCCAUUUUAUCAUCCCAAUCAAACUUUGAAAAUAAAGGUCGUACCCAGUGCACAACGCACAUAAAUAAGUCACUCCCAUCACAUUCUCCUGAAAAUUUUAAGAAACAUUUUUAUUUUAAAGGAAAAAGAAAACAGAACAAGAAAGCGAUGCAGUGUGCUGGGCCGAAACAAUUCAAUAGAAAUUUCUGCAGAUACAUGUGAUAAAUUUUUCUCCUCCAAACAUUUUUCUUUUUAAAGAAAAAGAAAACAGAACAAGAAAGCAAUGCAGUAUGCUGGGCCUAAACAAUUCAAUAAAAAUUUCUGCAGAUACAUGUGACAAAUUUUUCUCCUCUGCCCUGUUCCUUUUAUUUUAGUAAUUGAACUCUGAAACUUUGAAAAGAAUUCAGCGGGAUUGUUCACUCUCUCUUUAAAUCUUAGAUAGGGGAUGAAACAGGAUACUCCUCCGCUUUACAUCAUUAAAGUUACGAACCAGCACCAUUUAUGUGUGUGUACAUAUAUACACACACAUCAAUCAUUAAAGUUAUGAACCAGCACCAUGUAUGUAUGUGUGUGUGUGUGUGUGUUGCAACAAAAAAUAUGGCGAAACAACUAAAAAUGGUUAACUAAAAAAAUGAAAGAAAAAUCUCUAUGUAGAUUUUAUGUAGAAAAGUUGAGACAAUCAAUAUAACAAAUAAAAGAUAAAGUACCUGACAUUAGAGAGUUGAGAGUGAAAUGAGAAGCAAAAGUUUUGGUGAGAGAGAGACAGAGAUCAUAUCAUGAUGACUAUGUCAUCUCUCUUUAAGCAAGGAAUAUGAGCUAUCUUUCUCCAUUCUUUUCCUUCUUGGUCUCAUACCUCUUCUUCAUAGAGGGGCAUCUGGUGAUGUUCAGGAAAGAAAUAGAUGCCGGAAAACCCUGUUUUGGCAGGAAGUCGAGACUAUCACACCUUCCAAUAUAUAGCUUUUGAAGAGAAGUGCGGUGUUGAAGUCCAUUUCUGUCCAAAGAUUUCAGACUUGAGAGAUAAGAGAUUGCAAGAGUGUGAAGAGCGGUAAGAAGCAACUGUUCCUUGAGCAACGUCUUCAACACAUCCUCGCUGCUGAAUUGAAUCUUCGAAGGGAGACAAGCCGUUGCAAACCCCAGUUCUCCACUGAAGGCCUCAAUUUCUCACAAUCUCUGUUAUGAAAUGUUUGUAGGUUGGGAGGCAAACCCCUUUCACCAAAUGACACAAGAUUUGGAAGAUCCCAGGUGCUCAAUUUUUGAAGGGUGGUGCGGGUGACAGGUGUGCAUAUGUUUGGGCAAUAACUUCAUAUUAUCGAUCCCCAGACUCCAACAUGAAAUUUUUGCUAUCGCAUCCCUUUGACGUUGGCCAAUCUUUCAUUUUGCUCCCCAAUCCAUCCCCUCGAUGUCCUGGAGGAAAGACCGAAAAGAUCUUUUAACUUGAAAUGCAGAAAACAGGACAAUUACAAAAUUAUAAUUUGCAUAAUAUUUAUCUUCUAUUUACUUUGUGUUAAGAGCCUCAUCACAGAGGAAAUUUAAAAGCUUAAGGCAUCAUAUCCAUCCUCACCUCCACUAAAACACUCUGCGGGCAGAUCCUGCAGCCUUGCAACCCUGGACGCAGAGAUCAGGUUCUCCAAAUCUUGGAACCAUGAGCAGUUGGUGCUUGCUUGCUCUAGAGGCCUUAGGAAUAAUGCCUUCACAUUUUUCCCUACUUUUCCCAUUUAUCAUCGCAAUCAAACUCUGAAAGUGGAAACAAAAUUUAGACAUGAUUUGACAAGGAAAGAUAGCAAUGUGAAAGUUUUAGUGGGAGCAGAGUAGUAAUCACUUGAGGUGUACCAAGAUGCAAAAUAAUAAGAAAAUUUAGGAACCAGUUUUCCUAAAAUAUUGAGGAAACAACUCUAGUAGAGAAAUGCAAAUUUUACUUGUGAUGGAAAAAAAAUUUACAUAUAUAUCAAAGUCCUUCACAAAAAUUGCUUGUUUCUUCUCAUCGAUAUUGAAUGCAGAUGUCAACUCAAGCGCAUUCCUUUUUCAUACCUUGUCUCAGAAAGAUACCUUAAAUUCAAAGUUGAAGAUACUAUAAAUUAAUGAGUGAUCUAAGAAAACAAGCAUAUGUCUCAGUGGAACCUAAUUAUUAGCACAGCUUCUUCAAAUUAAAUUCCAGUUUGUUACGCGUUCAAGUUUGACAAUCUGGAUCUUUUCCUUAUCUUAAGAUGAAUGUGCAUUCUACCACACUCAAAUCAUAUCAGUAUGAGAAAGGGAAAAAAAACAUCAUCCAGGGUUACCUCCUCGCCCAUGCAGGAGAAUCAUAUUCUUGACAGUGACAAAUAGCCAUGGCACGAUUCGACAACUAGUAAUUUAUGUAAGCAAACACAUGUUGCCCUUGGAUGAUAUUGUCCUGAAAUUUAAGGACCAUGCUUUUGUUAGAGUAGCGUAGUUGAAUUAAACAAUUAAAAACUGACUGACUAAUUAAUUAAACAGAGUAUAAGUAUAGAUGACAGUAAACAAUUGAAGAGAAACUUUUACAGAAUUUGAAUCUUGCCUAUGGAAUAAACAUGGCGCUAUGCACGUACCUGACUUUGACUUGAGGCCUCAAAUGAUGAAUUGAUCAUCUAUCUUGAUGAGAGGAAUGUGAGCUAUCUUGCUCCACUCUUGUCCAGUCUUCUUCUGACACCUCUUCUUCAGGGAAGAACAGUUUUGGAUGCUCAGAAAAGAGAGCGAUGCCGGCAAACCCUCUUUUGGCAGGAAUUCGAGACUACGACACCCCUUAAUUUCGAGCUCUUGAAGACAAGUGAGGUGUUGAAAUCCCUUUCCCUUCAGAGAUUUCAGACUCGUUCCACAGAUUGCGAGAGUGUGAAGAGUGUUAGGGAGCAGCUGUUCCUUGAGCACCGUCUUCAACAGAUCCUUGCGGCUUGAGAUCCGAAAUGUUCGAAGGGAGACAAGUCGUUGCAAACCCCAGUACUCCACUGAAGGCCUCAGUUUCUCACAACCACUGAUUCGAAAUAAUUGUAGGUUGGGAGGCAAACCCCCUUCUGCAAAUGACUCAACAUUUGGAAGACCGGAUAUCUGCAACUCUUGAAGGGCGGUGAGGGUGUGUAUUCGGUCGGGCAAUAACUUUAAAUUCUUGCAUCUCAAGACUGCAAAAUGAGACAGUUUGGGAGUGGGCAAUCCCCCGUGGGGAAAAGAGACCAGAUUUGGACAGAAAUAGAUAAGGAGAUAGUCGAGAUGAGUGAGAUUUUCGUCAUCAGCUCCUUCUCCAAUGGCAAGGGAUUCUAGAUUUUUACUGCCCCAGAUCAGAAGAAAUGAAAGUUUGGGGAAAACGCCCAGCGGGAAGGACCUCAGUGAAUCACAGCUGUCCCUCAAUUUCAAAUGUCGAAGGGAUGUCAAUUUGGCCAUCAUCUCAUGAGAUAGGAAUUCUAAUCUCCUGCAAUUUUCUAUUCGAAGAUGUGUCAAAGAAGUGGGUAGACCGUUUCUCGGGAACGACAAGAGUGACGCGCAGUUAACGAGACUCAACUCUCGAAGACAACCGCUCAAGUGCGGCUGCAAGCAAUCUGUGCUACUAAAAAUUUGAACCUCAAGCGUCCAAAGCAAGCACAGCGACUCCGUCUCUAGUAACGACGAUAGACCUGGGCAUCUAACUAUGUUCAGGUGUUCAAGAGAUUGUCGCAAGGACUCCGUGUUGACGAUGAGAGACCAAGGUAUCCAUCUUGUUCUGGUAGCCCUUUCAUGUAGAACCCCGCAGUCUGACACCCAAAGCUGUCUCAAUGAAGGAAGAUGAUCGGGCAAGUUUCCCUUCAGCUUCGGACAAUUCACUAAAAUGAGCAGCUCAAGACGAGGAAAGUCUGGAGAUUGACCUCUACCUGGACUCGACAGCCAUUCCUCCCACUCCGGCAUCUCUUUGAACCCUAGCCUCUCGAGAGAUUGAAAUGGUUGACUUAGAGAAGCUCCAUUACCCCCGUAGAACUCAACACCAAUACUCACAAUAGUUUUCAUCCUUUCUAUAUAGAGCUCUCUUAGAGCGGGUAACCGCCCAACUGGUGGCAAUGAGAAGCAAGUACUACAAUCACUAAGACGCAUGACUUGUAUGUUGGAGAAGGAAGAGUCUCCCAACCAAUCCGGAAAGCUGGUUCCACCAUAAAAUCUGAUGGUCAGCUUCACGAGAUUCACAGAAGGCUGUAGGCUUUCAAGUACGUGUCUCUCUUUUAUGGAAUCAUCUGCUUCCUCAUGACCCCAUGCCAACUCUACUUCGUUGAGAUCUUUCUUAUCCUUCAAAUUGGCCCCCAAGGCAUCUAUAGGAUUGACGACAUUUUGUAGAUUCAAGAUAGAGAGUUUUCCUCGAAGGUUCGACAAUUGCCCCAGUUCACCAAUGCCACCCGACCUAGUAGAUUCCCCCAACACAAAAGCAGUCAAUGUUCUCAAACUUUUUAGCCUACCCAUUUGCACCGGCAUCUCUUUUAUACAAGUUCCACUAAUAUCAAGAUGACGCAAAUUAAUCAAUUUCCUCAUGUCUGCAGGCAAUUCAACAAGAGAGGAACAACCGACCAACAAUAGAGUUUGCAAAUUGUAGAGAGUACACAUCGUAUCUGGUAACUUUUUAACUGCAGUGUGAGAGAGAUCAAUGUAGUGCAAGUUUAAGUGUUUACCAAUGUAAUCAGGUAAUUGAGUGAUAUUUUCAUAUCUUGACAGCGACAACACCCGUAAACAUUUUAGUUUUGGUAAUAAAUCUUCUAGAACCUUUAUGCUUACAUAUAGGCUCUCCCUCUUCCAAGACGGUCUUAAAGACAUAGGAAAUAAGGUGCGCAAACACUUAAUUUCAUCCAAUGACCUAAGUUUUGCAGCAGUAUCAAAUCUUCCUCUCAUAUAUGACAAAUGCCGAACUCUUUUAGGAACUUCAUGCGACUCUCCCUCAUCCAACCUAAAACAAAAUUCUCCAGACACAUACAUAGCCAAGUCAUUAAUGAGAUCAUGCAUUGUGAAACUUGAUGGUUUCCAUGAUCUUUGAAGUAGUGAUCGUGACAAUAGUUCAUCAAAGUAUAUCUCACCGAGCUCUUCCAAUCCUUUACCACUCUCAUCUUGUGGAAUUAAACUCAGUGCCAUCCAAAGUUGAAUUAUAUUUUCCUUUUCAAAUUCAUAGUCCUUUGGGAAAAUUGAGAGAUAAGCAAAACAUUGUUUUAAAUAAGUAGGGAGAUAAUGAUAACUCAAUCUUAGAGAUGGAAGAACAUUUUUAUCAGUAUGCAAUGUCUCCCAAAGAUUGCUAUUCAAUAUGUGACUCCACUCCCUGUAACCUACAUUACAACCUAAGAGACCCCCAAGUGCUUUUGCAGCUAAGGGAAGACCAUUGCACUUGCGUGCAAUUUGCUUACCAAUUUCUUCCAAGUGUGGAUGCGCACUAGGAUUUUCAUUUCUAAAUGCAUGUUUUCUGAGUAACAACCAACAAUCUUUAUGCGACAAAUGUUUCAAAUAGUGAAUAGGACCGGUAUGCACAAUGGAUGCGACACUUUUGUUCCUUGUUGUCACUAUCACCUUACUUCCCCUCUCCCCAUAAGUAAAAGGAGUCCUUACAAGAUCCCAAUCACUAUAGUUGUCAUUCCAAAGGUCAUCCAACACAAAUAGGAACUUUUUCUCCCUCACUUGUUCCCUAAGUUCAACUUGAAGCAAGCUAUCUUGAAGACUGCAAGGUUUUGAGAUAAUUGAUUCAAUAAGAGUUUUAGUUACCCUCAUAGCGUCAAAAUCUUCGGAAACACAGGCCCAAGCUGUAACAUCAAAAUGCUCUUUUAUAUUUUUAUCAUUGUAAAGGAGCUGAGCAAGGGUUGUCUUACCAACCCCGCCCAUACCCACUAUUGGGAUUACUGAUAUGUGGCUGCUACUUGCAUCAUCAAAUAGCAACAUUCUUUUCAACUUCUUUUUAUCUCUCUUCCUACCACAAGCACUAAAUUCACGCUCAACCAGGGAUGUUGUGGUUCUUUGAGAAACCUUCUCCUUAACGCCUCCUCCUAUAAGACCAAGGAGAUCUUUUUGUUUCCCAAUGUGUUCCACCGUUUGAAACAACUCUUGUAUCUUACCAUUCAUGCCUUGAUAAAAAGGAUUAAGAGAAGUAGAGAAGAAGUUCCACACCUGGGACGUCAUUUUGGUUUGAUAUUCCUCAGCUUCCACCUUGCUUUGCAAAGCUUCAGCAUCGAUCUCAGCCAGCAGGUCCUCAGCAUCGAAGACGGCAUGUUUGAGCUCGUCAAGCCACUUUUUCACACGAGGUUUCUCAAUCUGCUUAUCCUCUGCAUCAUCAAGCACUGCGUCAAGGGCCAGAAAAGUCAGCUUCAGUUUCUCCAAGAGUGAAUGGUCAAGUUUUUUCCGUCGGAAGAAGUCCAUCAACAUCCCAGAAGAAAUCUUGUCGCACAGCGUCCGGAUGGAAGCAGAGAGAAAAGCCUCCCCAAUCAAAGCUCCUGCCAUUUCUCUUUCUCUUUCUCUGUUUUUUUUUUCUCUCUUCAAAGAAGUGUUGAGUUGAGGAAGAAGAAGAGUGUUAUCACCUAUAAUUUUAUUGUAUAAGCUUAAUUUCGUUUCGGAAAGAGACAACCUGAUAUAUAUAAUAUUUUAAGUCAAUAAUUGAGUGGAGCCCACACAUUAAUCAAAGAGUCUUAUUACCUAUAAUUUAAGUCACAAUUUCCCAGUAGUUGGUUUGGUUGGUGUGAGAGUGUGGGUAGGGGAUUUGGAUCCUCUCCCGAGCAGGGGUCCGAAUCCUCCUGACUCAAUAACACGGGUCGUUAAAUUUUGAUUUAACGGUUAUAAUUAUUAUAAUUUUAGAAGUGUUUUUUAUUUGUAACCGUUGGAUCAAAAUCUAACGGUCUGUGUUAUUGGAUCUGAAGGAUUCGGACCCUGCUCAGGGGAGGAUCCAAAUCCGUGGGUUGGGUGGCAAUUUUUUAGUAAUUAACCAUAACAUCACUGUUUGUUGAUAAUUUGAUAUUACAAGCCGCGUUGGGAUUCUGCUCUUGGGCGGAUACAGCACAAGAUUUUUAAAUUGAUCACCUAAUUAAUUAAGAUUAAAAUUGUAAUCUUUUGUUGAUUAUGUUAUCAUGUCAUCAUGCAUGUGAAAAGAAAUCACACUGACGUGGUUAAUCAAUAUAUUGGAGUUAUACUACAAGUUGUUAAACUCAAAAAUAGAAGGGAUCUCUUUUUUUUUUUUUCAUCCCUUGCCACCAGGUCUUAUAAUUGGCUUGUGAAAUAGGGAAGCUUCAACUCGGGUCCAAGCAGGCAACAAUACAAUGCCUUUCAUCAAAAUUUUGUCAUCCUAGUGCACCUAGCAAUCCCUUCUUCUAGUUGUCGACCCAUUUUUCGAUUGGUAACCAAUUUCUUCUUUUGCAGUCAGUCGAGAUUAAAAUGAAUAAAAGUGAAUUAAAUAAUAUCAUGUGUUGUACGAAGACAUACUCGGAACGAUAAUUACAAUAAAAAAUGUUAUUAGUACUAUGCUUCAACAUCAAACAACAAAGAUAUUGUUGAAAACAAACAGCAAGAUAAUGCUGUGAACACAGAAAAUUCCUGAAACGAAAGAGACAAGAACAACGUGGACAAACAAAUAUUUGUAUUUUGAUUAUUUAGGGUUACAAUCUCUCUCAAAUUUGAUCCUCUGAUUCGAUCUCCGUAAGGUGUGUAUUUGUGGAUGUUUCGUUGAUCCAAGGGCCGUUGAGGCUUGAUCUUGGAUGAACUGUUGGAAGUUUCUUCAAAGGGCCGUGGGCUUGAUCUUUGAAGGUGGAUUUGAGCGGAUCUUCAAGGAGCCGUUGGGGCUUGAUCUUGAGGAUGAAUGUUUCUUCAAGGGGCGUUAAGGCUUGAUCUUGAAUAACGGUGAUGAACGGAUCUUCAAGGGAUUUUGGGCUUGAUCUUGAAGAACAGUGAUGAAAGGAUCUUCAAGGGCUUUUGGGCUUAAUCUUGAAGAAACGGUUGGAUGUGUGGAUUUGUCGACGUUGUUGAUCCAAAGGGCCGUUGGGGCUUGAUCUUGGAUGAACGGAUGAUGAAUGAUGGACACUUUCUUCAAGGGUCGUCGGGGCUUGAUCUUGAAUUGGUGGAUGAUUGUUGAUCCAAAGGGCCGUUUGGGCUUGAUCUUGGAAGAACGAUGAACGAAGAACGAAGAGAGCUUUCUUGAUUCUUCGGGAACCUGGAUGCUUGAGAGCUUCGGAGUUUCAGAGCUUCAGAGCUUCAAGGUGUAAUAUGAAUGAAAUAGGCUUGUAUUUAUAGAAUUUUCCAAGAUCUAAUUUUGAAUAUAAUAUUCCAGAUGAAAUAAGUCGUUUCUGCCAGGUGUUGACACGUGUCCUAUUUGAUGACUUUUCCAACUCAUUUCCAUUUUCGUUGAGUCACACGCUACGUGUAAAAUUUAUGUAAUACAUGAGCGUUGACACUUUGAUUUAUUGGUCAACAUUUAUUUACCGAAAUUUCGAUGUCUACAAAUGCCCCCACUUCAAGGCACGUCGUAUACAUGUGCUUGUCACGUGUAGGAGAUGUGUUUUGAAGUCCCUUACUGUAGAUGUCGAUCCAAGGGCUGUCGAGGCUUGAUCUUGAAUUGGGCUGGAGAUUUCUUCAAGGGCCGUUGAGGCUUGUUUUUGAACUUUUGUUUGAAAUUUCUUCAAGGGCCGUCGAGGCUUGAUCUUGAAGGUUGAAAUUGGACCAUAAGGAGCUUUAUGUGGUAGAUGAUCUUUGGCUUUGGUAGUGGGUGAAUCGGCACAUAUUUUGUUGCGCUUGUUGACUUUCCACAGCUUUGAUCUUGAACUGGGUUGGAGGAUUUUCUGGAUUCCUCCAAUUGUUGAUUUUCCACAGCUUAUUCUUGAACUGGGUUUUGAUUCAAGGGUGGUAGACACUUAAUCUUGAAUCAGACUUGUGAUUUCCUCAAGGGCCGUCGAGGCUUGAUCUUGAAUUUGGCUGGAAACUUCUUCAAAGGCCAUUGAGGCUUGAUUCUUGAAGGUUAAUUCGAACACAUGACAAGCAGGCAUGAGGUGAAGGUGACGACUUGUUGCUUUGUUCAAUCUUUCUAAUUCACACCCGAGCAGUUUGGUCAACGGUAUGAUCUUCAAGAUUGAUGGGCUCUUCUUCCAGUUGGUGACUUGAUCUUUAAGGAUUUGAUUCAAGGGUGGUGAAUCGGCGCAUGCAGCCCACACCGCCUAGUAAGUCGACCCAAGAAUUUGAGGGUCAAAACGAGUUCUUCAUCUCAGACUCUUUCUGCCGAGUUGACUGUGAAUGAUGCAUUCUUCUCUGCUUGUUUCUUCAGGCAGAUAUGGCAGCUUCUCGAGUUCUUCAGCUCGGACUCCUUCUGCUGAGUUGACUGUGCAAACUGCAUUCUUCUCUGCUUGUUCCUUCUGCACCUCUUCUCCACAUGCUUCAAGGUAUCAUUUUCACUUGCCUUAUCUGUUCUCCAGGCAGAUGUGGCAGCUUCUUUGGAAGUACAACAGCAGUGGGAAACGAGUACUCAAGAGCAGUGCUAGGUAGGCAAUCAGGGAAGGGUUCCAAGCAGUCGGUUCCUUACCCGAGUUUAAGUGGAAGUUCCGGCAUAUUGUUUUCUUUAUCCUUGUCUUUGUAGGUAAGAACAAAGACAAAGGAAAUGACAGGGAGAACGCAUGAUAUGAGAUACUUUUGCUUUCUACCCUGGUGAUAUGAGAUACUUUUGCUUUGGUGUCAUUUGUUUGCUGAAGUACCCCAAGGGAUAAGGAACACCGAGUGACUCGAGAGGCUUCGUUGGGAAGGCAUUCUCGGAGAUGAAGAAAGGUUCCGUAUGUCUGCCUUGCUAUGGAGGGUGAAGGUGGACAGUUAUAGGGAGUUCCUUAAUACCUGUAGAUGUAUUGUUCUUUCACUUGUGUCAGUAGCCAAUGCGUGAUUGAUCAGUAUGGCUUCACGUGCCUUCUUCUUUAUCAUAAAUCUUCGACAAAUUGUCCGUAAUUUCCGCCAAGCUGAGUGUGCGUGUGACAGGUGUUGACACGGCUGAAAAAGACUGGCGCUUCUUUGAUAACUGGGAUCGGCGCUUCGACAAAUUACCCGUGAUUUCCACAAAGCUGAGUUUGCGUGUGAUGGGUGCUGACGUAUCUGGAAAAGACUGGCGUCUCUUCGGUAUCUGGGAUCGGCGCUUCGACAAAUCACCCGUGAUUUCCGCAAAGCUGAGUUUGCGUGUGAUGGGUGCUGACGCGUCUGGAAAAGCAAGAUGCCUCUCUGAUUUCUGAGCUUGCCUCUUCGAUUUUUGAAUUGGCCUCUUCGAAUUCUGAGCUUGCCUCUUCGAUCUCUGAAAUCCCGUUGAGUGCUAAUGUUUAUAGAGGCACGCAGUUCGUUUCAAAGCACACUUGAAUUUUCACUUGCAGAAACUCCCUUCUUGUACUUCUAAGAUCUUGAUCUGUCUGACCUCUUCUUUCUUCAACACCUUUGAAAAUGUCUGGACCCUCCGACCGUCGUUUCGAUUUGAACCUUGGUGAAGAGGCAAUCUCGCCCUCUCCCGAUAACAUAUGGCGCCCAUCAUUCAUAUCCCCUACUGGUCCUCUUACCGUUGGGGAUUCGGUGAUGAAGAAUGAUAUGACCGCUGCGGUGGUGGCCCGGAACCUUGUCACUCCCAAAGACAGCAGGCUGCUUUCCAAGCGGUCUGAUGAGUUGGCUGUUAAAGAGUCUCUGGCCCUUAGUGUGCAGUGUGCGGGGUCUGUGUCCAACAUGGCCCAACGCCUAUUUGCCCGAACCCGUCAAGUUGAAUCGUUGGCGGCUGAAGUGAUGAGUCUCAAACAGGAGAUUAGAGGGCUCAAGCAUAAGAAUAAACAGUUGCAUAGGCUCGCACACGACUAUGCCACAAACAUGAAGAGGAAAAUUGACCAGAUGCAGGAAUCUGAUGGUCAGAUUUUACUUGAUCAUCGGAGGUUUGUGGGUUUGUUCCAACAGCAUUUGCCUUCGUCUUCUGGGGCUGUACCGCGUAGUGAAGCUCCGAAUGACCAACCUCCGAUACCUCCUCCUUCUGUGGCCCCGCCGACUGCUGAGGCUCCGCCCGAGCAAACUUUGUGAAGGCUCUCUCUCGUCUGUUUUAUUUUUUUGAUUUAUGUAUGUGUACAUAUUUGUAAUUUAUUGGAGACAUUAAUAAAUGAGCUUUAUUUCACUUAGUGUCUACAUGCUCCUUUUUUUCUUUUUUUAUUUAUAUAUAUAUAUAUAUAUAUAUUUAUUUAUUUAUUUAUUAUAUAUAUAUAUAAUUUUUUUAUUAUUAUUAUUAUUAUUUUAUUUAUUAUUAGCUAAAGCUGUAUGUCCUUUUUUUUUCUCCCCAAAUAUGUUGCUUGCAGUGUCAGGCAAAUAUGGGCGUUAAAGCUUUUCCCAGCUUUAACAAAAGCUUUUUCUUUGCUGCUGUAUGUGUUAUAAUCAUUCACGGCAAACAUGGGCGUUAAAGCUUUUCCCGGCUUUAACAAAACACGGCAAACAUGGGCGUUAAGGCUUUUCCCAGCUUUAACAAAUGCAGUUGUGUAUAAGUAAGCCUUCCUGCAAGGCUUUUAGACAUGUAUCCGAUCCUCUCCAUCUGCUUGAAAGUUUUAACCUAUCAAGUGUAGUUUCAUUUGCACCGAAGCUUGCUGCUCCAUGCUUUGUCAGCUUCUUUGGACACCAUAACUGCACAGCCACCAUCCUUGCUGCACUGCCUUUGUCACCCUUGCUGGUUGCCGCACCGCCUUGCGUCCUUGUUGCACCGUCUGCUGCACACCAUCGCACUACCUGUCAUCCUUGCAUUUGUAGUCGCCAAGUACAGCGGGUCUUCAAGCAGCUGGAGGGCCGACGAUGAAAUGAUGCCGACGUACGAGGUGUAGCCAGUGGAGCUUGGUAAAGACAACUUUUGCUGUGGAAAGUUUCAACCUGGCGGAGAGUGGUGCGGCUUCCUCACUUUAUGUAGUUCUUUUUAUCUCAGUGACAAACUUCUUUUCUUCUAACUGCAGUGCUCUAAUUUCCUUUUCCAUCCCUCUAGCAGCAGGGGUCAUUUCUUGCUUGUUCUCCCAAAGAGCCUCUUUGGCAGUGGGUUUCUUACUGAAGCUGUUCCUGGCGCAAAGGCUGUAGGAAUCAGAGCACUCGGACUCGAGCAAUAUUCAUAUCAAGCCAUGUUAGUAACUCAUGGAUCUCUUCCGCGUUUCUCUUGUUGCUGGUUUGUGAUGCGGCAAGAACAUCAUUCGUGCACCUAGUGACCUCUUGCCUCAAGAAUGAUAUCUCAUCAUCCCGUCCUUGCAACUGUGAUUGAAGCUUUUCCACCUCAGCAAUGAGGCUUGCAGCUAGCUGAUGUAGCUCAUCAAACUUACUGACAGUGACGGAAAGCCUUUUCAUAACCUUCCCGCGGGAAGUUUCAAGGUUAUCCAAAUCUAGAUUCUUUUGUUCCACAACCUUUUCCAGUUCCUUAAUCCUGGAAGUGUGACCUUGCAUCUGCAUGCAUAUUUGUUUGUCCCAAUCUGCACAUAUAUAAAAUUUCUUAUAAUGUGCGCACAUUCACUGAUGGAUUUCUUUGUCGUAAUGCUAGGGAUCUUUAAUUACGAAGCUUUCAGAGGCGUGGUAUUUGGAGUGCGCAGGGCGUGAGCAUAUUUGUGCCUUCUGCUGCCUAGGGUUUGCGCAAGAGAUUGUAACAGGGUUUCGUUGUGUAGUGCCUUUUGCUGCCGCUUGGAAGGACUGUCCCGUAGCUACCCGCUUUGCCGUGCUGCUGCUGAUUUAUUUUUGUUUUUUUUUUUCCCGAGGUCAUGGUAUUUUUUAAGUGCUUUAAGGGCGGCACCCUUACCAUUCUUGCGCAGGGAGGUGACUCGCAAGACAGAGGAACGACGUUGAAGCUUUACGAGCCACUGACUGGUCCUAAAACGCUUGCUCUUCCCGCGAAAGAUAACUCCAUGCAUAUUAAGUCGUGGUCUUCCGAAGUAUCUUGGGAUGUGGUGGAUUCUGUCCAAGCGGAUACGAAGAAGAAAGCGCGCAUCUCGAAGAUUCUUAUCUUGAAUUCGUCGCACCAUGUCGGUGAUAAUCAUUCGGCCUCAUUUAAGCUUCUUGGUGAUCACAUCCGCAUUGGAGCUAAGGUUUGGAAGGGUACCCUGUCUACUGCUGGAGAGGCCGUUUUUGAUGAGUUUUAUUGGGAGUGGCUCGAAGAUGUCUUAAGCCGAUCUAAGGAUGUGCUUACUAAGGUGGACCUUUACCAAGCCGUGUAUGCGUCUUUGUUUAGUUACGAUCGCCAUCAUUCCGUUAUUCGUGCGUUCUUAGAGUGUUGGUGUUCGGCCACCAACACACUUCACACAGUGCAAGGGGAGAUGUCAAUUUCACUUUGGGAUCUUCACCGGAUAAGAGGUUUGCCGAUCCAAGGCAAGUUUUACAACGAGGUCGUUCCUAGCGCAGAGGACCUUUCUCUUUGCAAUAACCGAGGAUUGCCUGCAAGUUGCCGCUAUUUGUUUUGGGCGUAUCACAGGCUUUUCCAGGAUGCUCGGGGUAAAUCAGGCGUGAGGAUUUCCUCAUGGAUCCGAUUCUGGUACUGGGAGGCCAUGAGGUAUAAGAAGCCUUUGAAGAAAACUGGUCGUAACAAGACCACUAAGCCAAAGGGCGACUCAGACCCGUCCGGUGUUAUUGGCGCAACCAGGCGUCGCUCUUCCGACGAGUUGAGAGCAUUUGAGGAUCUUGGCAUAGCACCAGAGCAUGUGGAGGAGUCUUACCUGGCUGCUUUCUUAGCUUGUUGGCUUUGUAAAUUUGUUUUCCCCGCAGGCGACGUUAACUUAGUUCGCCCUGGAGUUUUCAAAGUUGCUAGCAAGAUGGCUGCAGGUGAGUCUUUUAGCCUCGCUAUUCCGGUCUUAGCCAGCAUUUACAAUGGCUUGAGCAGGGUUUCUGACUCGGCAAGCACUGAAGAUCGUGCUGCGGUGCUUCCUUACCACUAUGUGUAUGGUUGGUUGGGUGAAUAUUUUGGCACUCAUUUUUCUCUGUCGACUUUGGAUAAGUCAAGACCUUCCUCAUCAACCGGAGCCAAGCUAGGGCCUUUGAUGACGAAGUAUUCUGGGGUGCUCUCCGCGAAGAGCCUUGACGAUUUGCAAGCGCGAGCGCUAUUCAAAAGUUGUGAAGAUUUGAGGAUGGACCCCUUAGCGAGAGUUGGCUUGGUGCGGCGAGGCAUCGUAGACAACUCGCAUCUCCGCUUCUCGGACUUGUCUUAUCUUAUAAGCCUUCGUUCGGGGUUUGUUUCUUUGCGGCAAGAAGACCGAUGUAUCGUCCAGCCAUAUAGUCCCCACCGUUUCAGCAGGCAAUUUGGUUUUGUCCAAAACGUGCCAGGCAAGUUGAAGGAAAGGAACCCAUCGGUAUCCCUGCAAGCCGUGUACAUGCAUUGGGAGUCUUGUACCCGUUCAUGCACAAAUGCUGUUAUUACGAUGCCGGCCAAGGAUGAGUUCAGGAGUAAUCCAGUGACCCGUGUUUACGCACGUUGGUGGUCAAAGACACAUUAUAAGAACUCGGGGACGGCAAGUGGCGCCAAUUCUUCUUACUUAAGCGAUGAUACGUCGAGAGAGGGUUGUCUUGUGGUUUCUAUGCGACUGGUACCCCUUGAUUGCGCGAGUGCGGCUCCCUUGCAAGAUAGACCUGUAGCUUUAACUCCUCAACGUCCAUGCUUGUUUCCUCGACAUCCGGAUGCUUCUGAAGAGGCAGGGGAUGAAGGUGACUCGUACGAAGAUGGAUUCAUUUUGCAGCAGCGUCCACAAGUUUCAAACAAGCGACCACUUGAGGAUGCUCAGGCUGACAGUGAUGUCAAUUUUCGUCACAAGAAGAAAGAAGUGUUUAGAACUCCUCAAUUCGAUGACCGUGCGCCAUUUGAGAGAGAUGUAUAUCCUUUAUUUUCUCUCCUGAUUUCUUCUGCUUUUCUCGUUUUGGCUUUUAUUUCUAACAUCUUUCUUUGUCUUUUUUAGGUUGGGCCUUCCUGUCAUUUUGAUUUGGCAACUGCAGAUGUUUAUUCCUAUACGAGGAUGCUACUUGCAGACGACCUACCUACAGACGGGGAUAUCGGGGAUCCGCCUGGCGCGGAGCUUGUUCCAAAUCCGCCGAACUUCCCGAGUUUGCCACGUGUAGGUGGAGGUAUGCAAGAACCCGUCAUGCGUCCAACGCCUUUGCCAGCUAGCUCUGAGAUCUCUUUGAGAGGACCGAAUCUUAGCGGUACUGAGCGACUCAUCCAUCGCAUAAGUCUUGGUGCGGCAAUGGAGAUCAAGGGCCAUAUUGAGGCGAGGAUUUUUAAGUGUCCACUGGAAGACCUCCCGUUGCUUAAUGAGGAUUUGUCAAAGUUUGUUUCGGUGAUUGACAACCUUAACGUUGAUUCCUCCUCCUUGAAGAUCAAGAUUGCCGAACUUAUGGCCGCCUCGACUGAAUAUUCUUCCUUGCGUGCUAUUUCCUUGGAGAAGUUGAGUCCAGAUGUUAGAGCUCAUCAGCUAACAAUGAUAGACUCAUCACUGGCUCAAGUUCGGUCAUUUCAGCAAGCUGUUUCAGGAGAUUAUCAAGUCACGGAGGCUUCGUUAACUUCUGUCCAAGGGCGUCUAGAUGCAUUGGCGCGAGAGCGAAAACAGUUGGUAGUCGAGGCAUCACAACUUGAAAGUGUCCUCGCAGAGCAGGGAACUGCACUUUCUCAGUACCAAGAAGAGAUUUCUCGCCUAGAACGAGAGAAAGGCACAACUAUGGAGUUACCCAUCUUGUCUCCCACCGAGGUAGAGACUUUGAAGACCUUGGAAGGCUCGCUUGGAGAUUGCCUUCGUAGUUUUAGAGACAUAGUUUUCAAGUAAUAUUUCUUGUAAUAAGGCAUUGGACCCAACUCCUUCUUUCAAAGAAAUAAAGCAUUUAUGUUCUUGAAUUUGCUCUUCUUUCCUGAAAGUGUUUAUUUAUUAUUAUUAUUAUUUCUUUUAGAUGGUAUGACUGUACUUGAAGUUUUGACACUUCGAGUUGCCUACGUACCCUUUGUUUGAGGAGGGAUCAAGUCAUAACGUAGUUCAAAAUACAUUUUUUUUUUUUGAUGCCGUAUGCAGUUUAUGCUCUUGCGGGCCAGGAGCUUUAGUUCAUGCAGUUUAGGCUCGUGCGAAUAAAGAGCGGGAAUUUGUUGCCUUUCAGGGGUAGUAGCGCUUCAAGAAUCUGCCGUUGAUAGGGCCGAUCUUCAAGUCGUCCUCCGCCAUGAUUAAGUAGGCGCCAUUGGUGUAGACUUCUUGUACUACGUAUGGUCCAUCCCAUUUUGACGUGAACUUGCUCUUUGUCUUGUGAGUUGUGAUGAUAGGCCCACGCAAUGAAAGGACGAGAUCUUCCAUUUGAAAAGACCGAGGGAGAACUUUCUUGUUGAAGGCUUUAGAAAGUCGCGCUUGAUAACACUCCAGGUGUUGCUGGGCUUCGAGUCUUUUCUCAUCUAGUGCCUCCAAUUCUUGAAGACGUAGCUUUGCAUUCUCUUCAUCAGUCAAGCCUUCUUGUAUAGCCAUCCUUAGCGAGGGGAUUUGACUUUCGAGUGGUAGAAUAGCUUCUACGCCAUAUACAAGAGAAUAAGGUGUGGCUUGGGUAGGCAUUCUAUAUGUUGUCCUGUAUGCCCAUAGGGCUUCGCCUAUUCUUUCAUGCCAGUCUUUCUUUGUUCUACCGAUUACCUUCUUCAGGAGGUUGCACAAUGUCUUGUUGAAUGCUUCUGCAAGACCGUUGGCCGGAGCAUGAUACAUGGAGGAUUUGUGCUGCUUGAACUUGUAUUUCUCGCAGAGCUCGUCCAUGAGUCGGUUUGAGAACUGCUUUCCGUUGUCGGUGACAAUGUAGCGAGGCACCCCAUAUCGAUGGAUGAUAUGUCCCUUGAUGAAAUAGACGACAUUUUCCUUCUUGACUUCCUUCAGGGGUAUGGCCUCAGCCCACUUAGAGAAGUAAUCUGUUGCAGCCAGGAUGUAAGCCUCUCUUGUAGAUGACUUUGGUGCAAUUGGUCCUACGACAUCCAAUCCCCAUGCAUCGAACGACCAUGAAGUAGCUGUGGGGUGUAAUGGUUCAGGCGGUUGAUGUAUGAAGUUGGCGUGAAAUUGGCAGGCUUGGCACCUUUUGGCGUAUUCUAGGCAGUCCUUUACCAUGCUUGGCCAGUAAUAACCCAUUCUUUUGAGCUGGAAAUGAAGCUUUGGUCCGGACUGGUGCGCUCCACAUAUUCCUGAGUGUGCUUUUUCCAUGGCUUGAUUGGCUUCUUCCUCGCCUAGGCAAAUCAGAAGUACCCCUUCAAACGAUCGCCGGUAGAGUGUCCCUUUGUAAUAGAGGAAGCGAUGUGCUCGUCGACGUAUUUCAGAGCGGUGUUUCGGAUCAUCUGGAAGCAUUCCGUGCUCCAAGUAGUUGAUCAGAGGCUGUCUCCAUUCUUCAACGUUGACCGGAAGUAUUGAAAUAACGUUUGCAUCACUUAAUACCAUUUCGGUGAUAAGCGGGAUUACCUAACUUUGGCAGACUGGCACGUUUGUAGCUUCGUCUUCUCCUAAUGUCAUGCUCGAAGCUAGGUUGGCGAGAGCGUCUGCCAUUUGAUUCUCUUUUCUUGGCACGUGUUCUAGUGUUACGGCCUCAAACCUUUGUAGCAACUGCGUUGCCAGCCGAAAGUAUGGGACAAGGUCAUCUUUCCUCACCUCAUAUUCAGUCAGGAGUUGAUUGAUUAUGAGCUUGGAGUCGCCGUAUAUCUCGAGGGCUGCGAUUUCCAUGUUGAUUGCCAUUUGGAGCCCGAGGAUCAGUGCUUGGUACUCAGCGACAUUGUUGGAGCAUAAUUCGCUUAGCUGGAAUGAAUAAGGUAGUACUUGCCUUUGUGGCGACAUGAAUACUACUCCUGCCCCCGCUUCGUCUGCUCGUGCAGAUCCGUCGAAGAACAUCGUCCAUGUCGGGAAUAUGUCGAUGCAGAACACCUAUUCGUCGGGCAAGUAGUCCGAGAUUUUCCAAUCGGCUGGGAUUGGAUGGUCGGCAAGGAAGUCUGCUAGCGCUUGUCCUUUGACGGCUUUAGCUGGGACGUAGAUGAUCUCGUAUUGAUUGAGAAGUAAUGCCCAUUUAGCUAGUCGCCCUGUCAAAACUGGCUUAGACAUGACGUAUUUGACCGGGUCAGCUUUAGCAACCAAGUGGAUGGUGUAAGCAUGCAUGUAAUGUCUGAGCUUCUGGAUGGCAAACAUCAAGGCUAGGCACAUUUUUUCUAUUGGGGAGUAGUUCAAUUCAGCGCCGGUAAGCGUUCGACUGAGGUAGUAGAGCGCUUCUUCUUUCUGGGCCUCGUUUUCCUGUGCCAAGAGUGCUCCAACUGAACUUUCCUGAGCAGCAAUGUACAAUAUGAGCGGUUUCCCUGGUACAGGUGCCCCCCAGGACAGGUGGACUUGAUAAAUACUUCUUUAUGCUUUCAAAAGCAUUGUUGCAUGCUUUGUCCCAUACGAACGGAACAUCUUUCUUCAUGAGUCGACUGAACGGUUGACAACGCCCUGCAAGGUUGGAGAUGAAGCGUCUGAUGAAGGCUAGCCGACCUUGUAACUCGUGCAGGUUUCUUAGCUCGGGCAUGCUUUGAAUGGCCUUGAUCUUUGAUUGGUCCACUUCAAUGCCACGAUGCUUGACAAUAAAGCCAAGGAACUUUCCAGAUGUGACGCCAAAUGCACACUUUAAUGGGUUCAUCUUGAGGUUGUAUUUUCGCAACCUUUCGAACACUACUCGCAAAUCUUUCAAGUGAUUUGAUCUUUUCUUUGUCUUGACCACCACAUCGUCUACAUAGCAUUCUACAUUCUUGUGUAGCAUGUCAUUGAAGAUCUUCUGCAUUGCGCGUUGAUAUGUAGCUCCAGCAUUCUUCAGACCAAAGGGCAUCACCUUGUAGCAGUAAAUACCUUUUGGAGUGCGGAAGGCUGUUAGUUCCUCAUCUUCAAGAGCCAUGCGAAUUUGAUUGUAACCAGAAGAGCCGUCCAUGAACGAUAGUGCCUCAUGGCCAGUGGUUGCGUCCACCAUGAUCUCAAUGAUUGGCAAGGGGAAGUCAUCCUUUGGGCAAGCAUUAUUGAGGUCUCAAAAGUCCACGCAAACACGUAUUUGUCCAGAUUUCUUAAGGACUAUGACGAUGUUGGAGAUCCACUUGGGGUAUUGCACCUGUCGAAUGAAGCCUGCUUCGAUCAACUUGUCAAUCUCGGCCUCGAUUUGUGGGAUGAGCUCGGAUCGAUAGCGUCUUUGAGUUUGCUUUACUGGUCGCGUUCCAGGCUUGACUGCAAGAUGAUGCACAACAAUGAUAGGGUCGAGGCUGGGCAUUUCCUUGUAGGUCCAAGCAAAGACGUCAUUGAACUCUAAUAGCAGCUGGUAAUACUUCUCUAUCUCGCCUGCACUUAGUAAUGCACUCACGAAGAUAGGCUUCGGUUCCUCACUUGUGCCUAAGUUGAGUUCUUUGAGAUCGUCAACUGUGGCUUGCCCCCCAUCUUCGAGUUGUGACGGUGCUGCAAUGACAUCUUCUUCGAGGCUUUCAUCUUCUUCACCUUCUUGGAUUGUGAUGUGGAAGAUGUCUUGGGCUUCUUCUUCGGUGUUAACCUCUCGAGCUAGUUGGCAUGAAGAUUGUCCAGUGUGAAUGAUGGUGCGCCUUUUCACUUUCAGUGAUCCAACUGUGUUAACCUCCAAAAUUGCUUGGCGCUUCAUUCUUGAAGGAAUGGAACUUCGAACGUCAUCCUUUUCUGCCAGGCGAUCGAUCUUUUCUACUUCUGGUGUCGUCUUUCUCCUUUUGGAAGGCUCUUUGGCUUCUCCAAGUCUUUCCAUAAUUGACUGUCGUGGAGGAAAGCUAGUCGUAUUGCUUUGCUUUUUAGGUUUUGAUAACCUUUUGAAAACAGAGCCUCGAGAUACUGACGUGUUAAGCCUUUUGAAGACGGAAGUUUUGUUUUGACCGCCAAUGAGUUUAGGUGCCGAAACUCUGGGCUUUGAACAAUUCAUUCUAUCGAAUACUGAUGUCCGGGGGGCAGGUUGAGGCUCCUCUUUAUCUUGUAUAAUGCUUAUGCUGAUGUGUUGAGCACUAGCAUUUUUUGCCUUGCUGGAGAUCUUCACCGGUGCAUUUGGUGUGAAGCCAAGCCCAGCUUCGUUGUUGCUAACCCCGUAACCAUGCUUCUCUAACUUCUUUUAAGUUUUAGUGAGAUCACGUUCGUUGUCUUUGACGGUGUUCAAAUCAUUCUUUCCCAAAUUAGCAGAGGGGGUGAAGUUAUACCCAGCUUUCGACAUAAGUUUGUAGGCGUUUGGAUCAAAACCUUCUUCGGUCCUUUUGGUUGGGAGAAAGCUUGGUUCUACCCCCUUUGGCAGGCCUUUUAUGAAGCCCUGUGAUGGUUUUGCAACCUUAGUGUCGCCUAGCUGGGUCAGAGGCAAAACUGCAUUCGUUUUGAGCAACUUUACAUUAUCUAUGUGCCGCUGUGCAUCGGCUUUGCUCGCUGCAGUUUCGAACGGGGAUUGACCAUUCUUUCUUCUCGACGUCGGGAUGUACCGGAAGACGGGUACGCUUGGUCCAUUUGAGGUCGUCCUAUUUCCUCUGGUUGUUGCAGGUUUAGAAAGCUCAUCGUCGUUUUUGCUUGAAGAUGACAUAGCUUAUUCUUCUUGCUUCUUAGGCAUAGCUUGCCACUCCUGUUUUUUUGGCAUUGUUUUGCUCAUGGAUUUAAUCUCUUUUGGAAGAGUUUCGAGCACCGUGUCUUCAUUCAUGUAGAACUUGGCGUCUGCAAAAUGUGAUUCGGCUUCGGUGAAUGGCUUGGUGUCGCCAUAGAUCACCUUCACUCGUUCUUGGUAAAAUUUUAAACAUUGGUGAAGGGUGGACGGUACCACUCCAUUCGUAUGGAUCCAAGGCCUUCCUAAGAGCAGACCGUAGGAAGUUCUUGCAUCAAUCACGUGGAACAUCACGCUUGACUUGAGUUCACCAAUGGUCAUCUCCACUCGGAUCAUGCCCAUCGCUCUUUGUCCUCCUUGGUUAAAACCUUGGAUUAGUAGACGGCUUAGGGACAGUUCAUCCACCUUGAUGCCGAUUGCGGUCAUUGUUGACUUUGGCAUGAUAUUUAUGGCUGACCCACCGUCCACAAGCAUGCGGCUGACUUGAUGCUCCCUUACAUACCCAGAGACGAAGAGAGGUCGGUUGUGAGGCUUGGAUCCUAGCAACAAGUCUUCGUCGGCGAAGUGGAUUGUGUCCUCGGUGGCACAGCAUGUGGCACACUCGUGUGGCCGAGGCCCUAAGCCUUCGUUCUUGCUUUCUUCCACUUCGUGGUCGUUUGGACUCGCUAAAACCGUUGCCAAUGCCCUUCGUAUCUUCUUUGGCAAUUGUAGCGCUUCCUCGAUGCUAAAGUGUAUUGGCAGACCUUCUUCAGGUGUCGGAGUAUUUUCUCCCUCAGCGGCGACAAUUUUGCCCUUUGAGGGUUCUUCCAUUUCUACUUCGACCAUGUGACAUGCGGUGAUAGUGCAAUGUUGGAAGAAGUCCUCCGGGAAGUACUCGUGCAAUGAGAUGGGAAUGCGUGGCUUUUGCUCCGCAGGUUCCCCAGCAUAUAUUGGCUUAGCAGCUCUUAUGUUUCUCUUAGGCUUCCUAUUGCCGCGACGGCGGUGCUUUCUCCCUUGUUCCCCCUUCGGCUUUAUAGCUUGCGGUUUCGGUUUCCUCGUCCUCUUAUAGGUCACCAAUGUCCAUCCUUUGUCAUCGUCAGUAGGUGCGUCCUGGUUGCUUGCCCCCAGUGAUGGUGGUGCAGAAUGUGCAGUGUAGUUUGAGUAUUGCCGAGCAUGGUCAGGCAUUUCUUGAAGAAGCACGGGAUCAAAGGAUCCGAACACGACUGUAGUGGUGUGCGUCGCAGCUGUGUCUUCUAGGUCGAGCUCAAUUCGUCCUUGUUGUGCCAGCUUCAUGAUAAGUUCUUUUAGGAUGAAACACUUGCCCACAUGAUGACCCACGAUACGAUGGUACUUGCAGUACUUUGGAUCAUUGAUGCGAUUCAUUUCUUCAGGGCGUUUGCAUUCGGGUAACUCAAUCACCUUCUUCUCCAAUAGGUCAUCCAGCAUUGCGUCCAUGUCGGAGUCCGGAAAAGGGUAUACCUUCUGCUCCAAUUCCCUCAAGGUGUUUUUGUACCUAUCUUGGGUGUGGGAAGGCUCACCUUUUUUUAUCUCCCUUGCUUUAUUGAAAGAGAUUUUGACGGGCGCGGACGAGGUCUUGAUAGGGGUGGUAUUGGUGGUAAAAGCUUCCUUGGUGGGCUUUUUCGCAUGAUUGUCUGCUCUUGAAGUGAACACCUCCCUUUUGAAAUCGGUGAUUGGCUCCUUCUUUCCAUGGUGGGCGAUGCUCAACUCCAUGUCGUGGGCACGGGUGGCUAAUUCUUCAAAAGUUCGUGGUUUGAUACCUUGAAGGAUGUAUUGUAAACCCCAUUGCAUGCCCUGGAUGCACAUCUCGAUUGAAGAAAUCUCGGAAAGUCUGUCCUUACAGUCGAGGCUUAGAUUACGCCAUCGGUUGAUGUAGUCCAUGACUGGCUCGUCCUUCCACUGCUUUGUGCUUGUUAGCUCUAGCAUGCUCACAAUGCGGCGGGUGAUGUAGAAGCGAUUGAGGAAUUCCCGCUCCAAUUGCUCCCAACUGUUGAUGGACUCAGGCUCCAGAUCCGUGUACCACUCAAAGGCGUUUCCUUUCAGCGAGCGCACAAACUGCUUGGCGAGGUAGUCCCCUUCGGUUCCUGCGUUGUUGCAAGUUUCAACGAAGUGGGCAACGUGCUGUUUCGGGUUUCCCUUUCCAUCAAAUUGCAUGAACUUUGGUGGUUGAUAACAACUCGGCAUCCUUAAGGUGUCGAUCUUCUUUGAAUACGGCUUUGAGUACAACCCGGAGGUAUAUGAGCUCCCUUCGUACUGUGCCUUGAUGGUGUUGGUGAUCAUCUCUUGCAGCUGCUGGAUAGAAAGAGAUCCCAUGAGUGCCGCUGCUUGGUAUGGUUUCGGCUUUCCAUCGAUUUUCUUCACCGGGGGUUCUUCGUCUCCGCCUGCUCCUCCCUUUAGUGGAUCAUCCUCUGGGUCGGGUUUCUCGCUGUCCUGCGCCUCCAGUCGGUUGACUAAUGCCGCGAUUUGCAAGUCUUUUUCUUCCACAGUUCGAGUUAGUCUUGCGAUUGCUUCAUUCAUUUGAGCAAGCUGUUCCUCGACUGAAGUUGCUCCAGCGGUCAUGACUUGCAUGGCUGAACUGCCGCUUGAAUCGUCAUCGGAGAGCAUGGAUUCGGAGUAUUCCCUUGGUCUUUCCCCUCUUGGUGCCCUUAGUGAGGCUAAGGUGAUCACAAGCUCGCGCCUGGGGUACUCUCGUUCCCUUGGCAGAGUUGAUGCAGAGGUGAAAAAGGUGGCAGAAGUAGCUUUUGCUUUGCUUCGAGUCGUGAUACCCAACGUGACACCACUUGCGACGAGGGCGCCUUUGUUCUUUGCGCCGGUUAUGGGAACAGCUUGAGCCUUCCUUGACGUCAUUGAUUUUGGAAGUGUGCUUAUAUUCCUUGAACGGAGGAAGAGAUGAGAGGUAGAGAUGUCCCACCGAGCGUGCCAAUUUGUGAACACGGAAAAUUCCUGAAACGAAAGAGACAAGAACAACGUGGACAAACAAAUAUUUGUAUUUUGAUUAUUUAGGGUUACAAUCUCUCUCAAAUUUGAUCCUCUGAUUCGAUCUCCGUAAGGUGUGUAUUUGUGGAUGUUUCGUUGAUCUAAGGGCCGUUGAGGCUUGAUCUUGGAUGAACUGUUGGAAGUUUCUUCAAAGGGCCGUGGGCUUGAUCUUUGAAGGUGGAUUUGAGCGGAUCUUCAAGGAGCCGUUGGGGCUUGAUCUUGAGGAUGAAUGUUUCUUCAAGGGGCGUUAAGGCUUGAUCUUGAAUAACGGUGAUGAACGGAUCUUCAAGGGAUUUUGGGCUUGAUCUUGAAGAACAGUGAUGAAAGGAUCUUCAAGGGCUUUUGGGCUUAAUCUUGAAGAAACGGUUGGAUGUGUGGAUUUGUCGACGUUGUUGAUCCAAAGGGCCGUUGGGGCUUGAUCUUGGAUGAACGGAUGAUGAACGAUGGACACUUUCUUCAAGGGCCGUCGGGGUUUGAUCUUGAAUUGGUGGAUGAUUGUUGAUCCAAAGGGCCGUUUGGGCUUGAUCUUGGAAGAACGAUGAACGAAGAACGAAGAGAGCUUUCUUGAUUCUUCGGGAACCUGGAUGCUUGAGAGCUUCGGAGUUUCAGAGCUUCAGAGCUUCAAGGUGUAAUAUGAAUGAAAUAGGCUUGUAGUUAUAGAAUUUUCCAAGGUCUAAUUUUGAAUAUAAUAUUCCAGAUGAAAUAAGUCGUUUCUGCCAGGUGUUGACACGUGUCCUAUUUGAUGACUUUUCUAACUCAUUUCCAUUUUCGUUGAGUCACACGCUACGUGUAAAAUUUAUGUAAUACAUGAGCGUUGACACUUUGAUUUAUUGGUCAAUAUUUAUUUACCGAAAUUUCGAUGUCUACAAAUGCAUUUACAGAUCAUAUUUUUUAGAAUUUAUUGCUUCCUCGUGAGAUGAUGACUCCUAUUUCUAUUAAUUUUGAGCAAUAUAGAUAUUCUGAAUCUAUGAUGAAUGAAAAAAUGGAAUGCCAAAAAAUAGCAAUGUACCGAGACUUAUAGAACACCUAAGUUUUGAACAUGAAGAUUAAAAAGCUAUCUAUGACAAAAGUAUUUUUGGCAUUUUUGCUAAAAUGAUUCAUAAAAUUGGCAUAACUCAUCACUUUUGGUCACCGAGAUUUGAAAUUAAUAGAGAUGAUUCAUGAGUUUGACUACCAUCAAUUAUUUUGUUAAUUCUGUAAAAAAAUUAAUGUUACAUAAGGAUCAAAAUGACAAAAAAAAAACCCUUAAUUUAAUAAAAUAUGGCCCAAAAUGAUUUGACAAAAUUAAGAUCAUUUUUGUCAUUUUAUCUUUAUUUAACAGAGAAUUUUCACAUAAUAAUCAAAAUGGUUGAUGAUGGAUAAACUCAGCUCAGGAACCAAUUCUAUUAAUUUUAAAUCUCAAUACUAAAUUGAAAAGUUAUAACAAUCUCAGUUCCAACUUGUCCAUGAGUGAAUAGUAAGUUUUUUUUCUUCCGGAACAAGUCCAUGGACUCGUCAGAAGCAAGCUUGUCGCACAGCCCCUGGAUGGAAGAGGAGAGAAAAGCCUCUCCAAUCAAGACUCUUGCCAAUUCUCUCCCCCUCUCCCCUUUUUUUUUUGGUCCUUCAAAGAAGUGUUGAGGUGAGGAAGAACAAGAUACGACUUGAUACUCUUUUGGUCAAUAAUUGAGUGGACUCCACACGUUAAUCAUAGAGUCUAUUUUUUAUAUAUUAUUAUUAUUAUUAUUAUUAUUUUAACAUAUCAUAGUCUUAAUCGUAAUAAUUUUGGAGUAGGAUUUUUUUUUUUUUUUUUCCAUCUCCUUCUCUCUUCUCCAAUUUGAACGAUCACGGUUAAGCCACAUCAACAUCUUAUAUUAAUUUUUUUAUAAAAAAAAAAGAUAAAAUAGAAAAUAUGAAAGAAAAGAAUGGAAAAAGAUGAAAAGAUGAAGAGAGAGAAUCUUAGUCCAAUAUUUUACCUGACAAUUUCCUAAUAAUUGGUUGGUGUGAGAAUGACAGAGUGUGGGUUGGGCGAAUUUUAGUGGACCCCAACGUUAAUCAGGCAUGUAAGUAGCAAUUACAUUGACUUGGUUAAUUAAUAGGCUGCAGUUGGACUAUAAAAAUAGGAUAAAUUUUUCUCUAUGUCUGAAACACGAGCGUUAUACAGCAUAUCAUUAUAUAAGUGAAUGAAACUUUUAUUUUUUAAGUUGUUAAUCUUUUAAUAUAAGUAUCUCACCACUUGUAUAGUGAUAGGUGAUGUACCAUCUAGUGUUCCGGUCGUAUUGAAAAAUUCUCUCCAAAAUCUUCGACUCUCUAUUUUUAAUCCCCAUAAUAAAUUUUUCAUUAUGACCAGAACACGGGUGGUACAUUACAUGUUUUCUGUAAGUGGUGAAAAAUUUUAUUUUUUAAGUUAUUAACAUUUUAACACACAUAUCUCAUCAUUUGUAUAGUGACAUGUGAUGUACUACCCCGUGUUCCAAUCACACUGAAAAAUCUCUCCCUUAUCAGGUCUUAUCACAUGGUCUAUGGGGAGAUCAAAUCUUCUACGCCCAAAAUGGGUGUGGUAUCUCUAUGCCUCUAAUCAUUGUUUGGCACACAUUAGGUUUAUAAAAACAAAGUUAAAAAAAUUAAGUUUAAAAACAAAUGUCAGUCAAUAAUAAGAACCAGAGAGAGGCCACACUCAUCUUAGAGACAGAAAAUUUGAUCACGUUGUAGAGAUGUCAAUGGGUUGUAUGAUAUACACAUACUCUUAUUUACUUCUCGCAUACUCCUUAUUAAUUUUCAUUAUUUAAAAUUUUUCAAUUUAUUCGACCUGAUGGCCUGAAAGUGAGAAAUUAUGUGCGAAAUUUAAAAAAAAAAGUGUAAAUAGCACAUCUCGUUGUAAAAUAGGGAACUUCAACUCGAUUCCAAGCAGGCAACAAAACAUUGUCUUUCAUCAAAAUUUUGUCCUCAAAGUGCGCACCAUAGCAAUCCCUUAUUCUGGCUGUCCACCCAUCCUCUUCAAUUGGUUACUAAUUUCUUCUUUUGCAGUCCGUCCAGAUUAAAAUAAAUAAAAAGGAAUUAAAUUAGUAUCACGCAUUAUAUAAAGACAAACACGUGUUUACGUUUAGAAUGAUAAUUACAAUGAACAAAAUAAUAUGCGUUAAUCUCAAACAACAAACAUAUCAUUAAAACCAAACAACAAGAUCAUGCAUCUAUAAAUCAUAAUUUUUAGAGUUUACUACCUUCUUCGUGAGAUGACUCCAAUUUCUAUUAAUUUUGAGCCACAUAGAUAUUAUGAUGGAUGAAAAAAAAAUGAACGCCAAAAACCAGCAAUGUUCCGACACUUAUGAAACACCCAAUUUUAAAGAUGAAAAUUUAAAAGAUAUUUCUCACAAAAACAAUUCUUUUAAAGAAAACUUAAAAGGCCUCACUAUAAACAUAAAUGAUCUGGGAGGUAGAAACAUUCGGGAAGAGGGAGAGAAAGAGUUUAUAGAUGUGGUUUUGUGGCAUUUGCUACGUGGAGUGGGACGGAACAGGUUCGUCACAUGAUUAGUGCGACAAAAAAACGCGCCUAUCCUUGAAAUGAAUUUUUAGUCUAAUUUUUGUACCACACUCCAUCAUGAAAAAACAAACCCUAAUCUUGUGUCUUUUUUCUCUCCGCGUAGCCUCUCUCUCUCCUCGUUGUCUUCUCCGCGGAGAGGCUCCAUUCUCUGCUUCGUUCUCUGCCUCUGUCUUUCUCUUGUCGCAGCAUCUCAACAUCUCCCCUCUUUGAUUUAAGGGAAUUUUAACGAAAAACUCCCGGUACUGUUCAUUUUAACGAAAAACCACAUUUUUACGUUAAAAAGUCAAUCCUGAUACUAUUCACUUUACCCUUUAUUUUGUCCUUAUCGUUAAAACUCAAAGUUUUCAAACCCUUUUCAUUAGUUUUCCUUUGAUUUAAUUGUCAAUUUUUUCUAAGUUGGUUGUGAUUUUCCUCAUUCAAUUGACCAUGGUGUUCUAUGCGUAGAAGUUGAAAACCCUAGAAAGUUACGGAUUUCACUGAAAUUGAUUUUCGGUUCCACAAGCUUUGCACUGUUUGGGGUUAAGGGUGUAAUUUAGAGGUAUACAUCCGUUUCUGUGUUUAUGUUUAUGCAACUAUUGGCUGAGAAAAUGAAUCGUUUCUUAAUUGUUCCUUCUCACAAGCUUAAGGGAAUAUGGCUGCUGCGAUGAAUAUGAAAUAAUUACCCAGAAAUACAUUAUUACCCAGAAGAACCUAAUAAACUUCUUCCUUACCAACAAAUAUUAAUAUUAAGUGUCAAUGUAACAAAUAUAUCAUAAAUAAGCAUUAAUUUUUUCGUCCUAUUAUCAUUUCAGCAUGCACACCUUUGUCGUUCCGUCUACGCAUUAAACGGUACUUUAAUUCUUGUUAAAUUUGAAUUUUUAUUUUUUAAUCUUAUUUUAUUUUAUUUUAUUUUAAAUGCUCAUAAACUAACUGAAUAGUGGAGCAAAAGUGAAUAGAUUUCAUCUCAAAGGAAAUUGUAUUAAUGAUCUCUCAAUUUUAACUUUAAUGAAGCAAUGAUUCUUCAAUUAAAAAUUUCUUAUCAUUAGUCAUUUUACUCAACAAAACGUGAAACUAUAGACAUUUUCAACAACUCAGUCAUAACUUUCGUCAAAAUAAGACUAAAUCAAUGGGCAAAUAUGAAAAAUUAAAUGAGAAAAUUGUAGCAAUGAUCCCUAAAGUUUAAUCCAAUUGUAGCAAUGGUCCUUUCAACAUGACUCAUUUUGAUAGAGUUGACGAAAAUAACCAUAGUUGCAUGUUUUGAUGAGUUAAAAAAUUAAUGAUCAUAAAUUUUUAAUUGAGGAACCCUUGCUCAAACUAAGUUAAAGUUAUACUGCUACAAUGUCUCUUAGCAUAAAUGGGGUAUUUAGCCAUAAAGAAAAGUAUAUAAUUAAAAUUCAAGGGAAAAUUCGAUAAAUAGUUAAAAUGAAACUAAAAAUCAGAGUUGAAACUUGAAAGUAUAACCUCAAACAAAUUAUUUGGUUUGAACGAAAAACGAGUCUAAUUGCAGCAAAAUAAUGUAUCCCGCCACUAAUCACCGCGCCUUCUCUUGAAGCGCUUACUCUCUCUCUCUCUCUCUCUGUCUAUCUCUGAGUUGCCGUAGCAUCGACCACCCAAGAAAACCGUACGUCUCCAGGUGCCUCACUCUGCAUUCAAAUGUGAACCAUUUCUAGGGUUUCAUUUCAGCAGGGCGUCUUUGGAGUGUUGCAAUUUUCAAAGUAUAAACUUUUCCCUUAUCAUCCCACUUCCCCCAUUCUCAAAUUUGCCAUAUUUUCCUUAUCUUCAACGCCUUUGUCCUUUUCGCAGAAAGCCCGUCGCCGAUUGAUUCAAUCCGUAGCAGAUUUUGGAGCGAAGAAGCUCCAUUGAUCCCGAAUACACAAAUGUGUUGGAGCAAUGAAUAGGGCACCUCAUAUGAGGCAAGAGUAAGAGGAACAAAGAAAUAGCCUUUUUACUUUGCAUUAUAUUCCCGUUGCUUCCAUUGUUAUUUAUCCGGAAUUCGGGUAUGUGCAGUCGCCCCAAUCUGGCUCAAGAUUUCUGUGCCCAGACGCCUGUUAAAGCUAAUUUGUUGGAACAUGUCGAUGCACUUGAUAAUUUCUCGUGCCCGCAUUGUGUUCUGAGCUCAAAUUUUAUUUUCUCCUUACCAACACAAAAGCCUCUUGCCGAAGAGGCAAUGGUUUCCGGGUAUGUCGCGGUUAUACGUGUUUUGUUUCAUUUUUAUUUUUUUGUUUUUGUACUGUUAUUUCAUUUUAUCUUGAGGAUUACUUGUUAUUUGGUGACAACUUGACAUCAGUUUAUGUAUUUGGUCAUUGUGGUCUUUUGCUUGGGUAAGAUAUAGCUCUUGUGUUUGUGUUAUUUACAGGAUUCAUUGUUUGUUUCAGCUAAUUUUAAGUUUCAUCUACCUUAGCGGGGUAUGGGUCCCUGUGUAAAAGAAUCCCCCACUAUAGCGAAGCUAAUUUAUAUGUCUAUAGUUGUAUUAAUGUGGUAUCUAAAUGGAGUAUUAUUACUCGUGAGUUAUAGUUCAAAUCAACAGUACUCAUGUACGUAAAACAUAAUUUAGAGCUAAGCCAUCAGAACCAAACUAAGAAACAUAAAAGUGAUUCCUCUAAUACAGAUGGAGGCCAUUAUUCUCUUAUUCACAUACAAUCCUAAAAAAUUUCCCUAAGAUGAAUUCCUUUUACGGAAACCAAGUUAGUACAUAUAUACAUAUGAUAUCAUCAUUUAGGAACCCCUUAAGAUUGGGGGCCCUGUGCAAGGGCACCUAUUGCACAUGCCCAAGGCCACCACUGCAAUCCAUUCCCAAAUAUUAAUAUCUAUCCCAAAUAUUAAUGUAGGCAAAAUUCAUGCCUCUGCAAUCCAUUCCCAAGAUGAGAAUUGUUUACAGAAAAAAAAAAUGAUCUGAAUUACAUCGGGGUUGUUGAAUCUCUUUCUAAAAUUUCUUAGUAACGAACUGUUUCAAGUCGCUUUACAUAUUGAAAAACUCUGCUUGAAGUAUUACAUCUUGGUUUCUAUCCAUGAACCCUUUUCUUUGGUUACAUUAAGUGCUAAACUCAAUAUCUGCAGUUCAUGGUAGAACAUGAUAUUUGUUAUCUUUUUCCUCUCUCUCCUAGAAAUAGGGAACAAGCCAUCUAAGAAAUAGCUAUCACCAAUUUUAUUAAUGUAAUUUUUUUUACUGGAACUGAAAAUAGUCAUUGUCACAAAUGCUAACGGGUUUAUUGUGCUUCAAGAAGCUCCACACAUGCAUUUCUGAAGUUUUCUAUUAUAGAUAGUACUUGCAUUUGUAUAUGCUAAUCUUUGCAACUUCAAUUUUGCAUUUGUACAUGCUAAUCUUUGCAACUUCAAUACAAUUUGACAGUGCCAUUUUUUAAGUCUCAAAGGCUGCAUCGUUUUGGUUAUGUUUGUUGGCAAUCUCACCGCCGCAAUCGCUCCACGCUUUGUUGUUAAGUUUUUGUAUCAGUAUUAUAGACCUUGUGAUGUUCAGAUUGCAAGAGAAUUCGAGAAGUUUGGCAAUCCAAGAGCGUCCCCUGCACAAAUAGAAAUGGAUGCGAUCUUGGACCCGCCGAGGAGAUGAGCAGGUGAUGUUAUUGCUUUCGACAUCUCCUUCUUUUUGUAUCUUUUGUAAAAAGGUUAUUCUUUAGGCUGCUUCAGAGUAUCUCUCUCCCAGUUGCCUCAUUGUUCAUUGUUUGCUAUCCGAAGGAUAGGGUUUGUAACUUUGUAGUGCUAGGCUUAUAUUUUGUGUUCCUCUUUUGUUUUGUUGUACCUUAUUCAUUCGGUGUAAUUAGACUUGUUUAAAGAGAAAAGAAUUAGACAAUCGAUACAAUACAUGAAUUUUACCACAUAAGUUUGGAUUGUGUUCAGAUUGAAUCCUUCAUACCAACUUGAAAUCGACCAAAAAGUACAGGGGUUUCAAACAGAUGUAGGACAGAGUCCUACAUCCUGCCUCAGGUCUCCUCUCGUCUCCUUUCUUUCAUUCAGCGACUUGGGAGAUAAAAAAUAUAAUAUACAAAUUAUGUGGGAAGUUUACCAUUAAAUAUUACUGUGGCAUUAUGUGAUAAAGUUUACACCAAGUAAUCGAUGGUUAAGGACAAUAUCAGUGAAUGAAUGAGAUCAUAAGCAACACCUAGUAAUGAUAAAACCCACGCCUAGUAAUGAUAGGCCUAAAAAGUGUCAUGGUAUCACUAUCAAAACAUGUUAUUCUUACACGAAAAGUUGUGUUUGCAUCGGCAUAAUAAAUGAGUUAUUGGUUCUGUUAUCCCACCCCUAGGAAAUAAUAGGUAGUGUUACGUACUAUGCUAUGCAAGUCUUAAAUCUUUAAAGAAAGAAUCCAACCAUUAACUGCCACAUCAUGCAGUCAACAACAUAUGGUUCAAAAACAGCCAUAACUAGUAGUGUUACGUACUAUGUGAUGCAAGUCUUAAAUCAUUAAAGAAAGAAUCCAACCAUCAGUACUAUGUGAUGCAAGUCUUAAAUCAUUAAAGAAAGAAUUCAACCAUCAACUGUCACAUCAUGCGGCCAACAACAUAUGAUUCAAAAACAUUAACAACAUAUGAUUCAAAAACAUUCUCCCUAGCAUUUUCCUUAAAAUUUUAGUUUGUCAACCAAAAAGUAAUUAAAUUUUUAGUUUUACGUGCUAGUGGAAUACACGUAACAUAAGUAAAAGUGAAAAUAUUAAAAUGAGAAGGUUGUAAGCACUCCCAUUUGUAUUUAAUCAAAACUCAAUAACAAUUUCAUAUCCUAAAACAGGUCAAAUGAAACAAUUAUUCUUUGAAGAACCGCCAAGCAAACGAUGAAUGCAGAACCCCGUGUCCUAAUGCACCAAACAACGGGCUUCGUACUAUUAGUCAUAUCCUGUACUUUACGCGGCAUGCCAAACGAGGCCAUGGUGUGCUAAUUCAUGGAGAGCACCAUACAUCUGAGUAGGGCAUUGCGACAAAGUGACCCAAUUUCUCGCUUCAUAUUUUUACAUUGUGCAGUAUUCAUGACCACAAACGCAAGCCACGCCACCUAGUCAAGGAAACGUAAUGUACAGGUAUUCAAGCAAGCACGGCCAUGAGGCAGCACGCAACGAACCCACACACUCUUCACCGUAUCCGCACUGUGUCUACCUGAAGAUUAAAGUGAAAGCGAAAGAUGAGAAAAUCAUGCCGCCGUAUUCAAUCACACCAGUAUGUGAAAACCAUCAUCCUGCGGUGGGGUUACCUUUUCGAUGCAGGAGAAUCAUAUUCAAGCCGGAUAGGCAGAGCCACACAGCGGAAUUCAAGGACUACCACUUGUCGUAAUUUUGGUUGCCCCAGAUAGCCAUGUCUUUACAUUUCCACAGAAUGCACAGAAAUAAGUCACCCCCAUCACAAACUGUCCAGGCGUUGUCGAAGACAGAUUCCGCUUGGGAGUUUUCAAUUUUAUAAAACUAGAGCAAAAAGAAACAAGAAAAUAAAAAAUGAGACUUCGAGUGAAUUGGAAGUUCAAGAAUGUUUUAGCACUGAAAAAAAGGGUGCACAAAAUCAAUUAAAACAAGUUUUGAGCAACCUUUUUAAUCAAAUAUAUAAUAGAACAAAAGUAAGAAUUACCUCUAAAAGUUUCACUGAACUUCAAAAAUUGGAGAGCAUUUCCCACAUCCUCAGCAGCUAAUGGUGGCCUGAGGUAGGGGAAGCUCAAGAUCAACCUCUCUGCUCUCAAUGCGGCGUUCCUUGACCCUGCGACACCCUCCUGCAGCCUUGCCCUUGCUCUUGCCCUUGGUAUUAUUCUUAUUCACAGCAGCAGCACCAUCUCUGCUGCAUUACAAGUUUCCAUCAACUCGUCCUGCUUUGCCGCAUCCCAGUACUUCACAUCAUUGCUCUGAUCAAGGGCGUUCUCCUUCCCUCGUUUGCUAGGUGAAUCAACACACAUUGCCUGCCAAAACUUGAGACCAUAAGCCCUCCUAAACAGAAUUAAAACCAACCAACAACAAUAUCAAUAUGCAUUCUCAAAGAAAAAACUAUAAUCAAUAGCACCAUCUCUGCUGCCAAAAACAACCUCUUGAGUCUCAAUAGUCCUGGGCCAUUCCUUGACUUUAUGAUGCUUUCUGAACGCCUUGGCAUUGACAUCCUUAUUGCUCACAGCAGCAGCACCAUCUCUGCGGCCAUUACAAAUUUCCAUCAACUCUUCCUGCUUUGUUUUCAUAGUUUCCUGCUCACCAGAUUUGGAGAUGCAUCCAAGUUCAUAUCUUUGCUUCCACCAAGAGACUUCUCCAUCCCUCGUUUUCUUGGUGAACCAACACCGGUUACUUAUCAAAACUCGAGGGCAUAAACCCGCUUGAACGUCACUAAAACCUUGUUUGAAUCCAUACGUUUUUUUAGGCAAACCAUCCUUGCUUUCGACAUCCAUCUCCCCUUGUUUCUUUGGCUUGAACAUACUUGAAGGGAUUGCUCAUAUUUUAUUAGAUUCGAAUUGUAGUUGCAUGUCACCACACAUAGAGAAAACAUACCUUUUUGUCCUGAUACAACUCAAGGGAUAGCUCAUAACAUCCCCAAUGAUAGAGCAAAAUGCUGUAAUCUCUCAGUUCCUUUGGAUCGCUUCAUAGGCUGUGACAACGGGCACAAUCUCAGAUUAAAAUCGUUUUCUUUAAGGAGAGUAUGUAGACAUUCCAACAAAAAUUCAUGGAGGGUAUGUGCACAGUUAAUGCAGUGAAAGAAGACAGCUUUACCUUCAGAUCGAUGCGUUCUCCCACUUCAUUUCCACAUCAAGAUGUGAAAAUCCUGUUUCUUCUCAUAUCUGUUUCGAUAGGAUGCCAACACAAGUGCUUUUCUUUUUCAUACCCCAGCUCAACAUGUAUGAAUACUGCUAAAUUCAAAUAUGGUGAAAUUAUAAACGAUCGAAUUGAUCUUAGAAAACAAGCAAAUGGUUCUUAAAAUGAAACCUAAUUGGUGCAGCUUCUUAAAUAAUUCCAGCUAAUAAAAAGAUUGAAUUAGCAUCAACUUAUACAUGAGCUAUCCAUUAUAUUACGUCACAGUUAACAAGUGGACUUUUUCUUUAUAUUGAUGAAUGUAAUCAGCAUGUCUCUGACUACACCGUCGCUCUUUAUCUCAAUUAAAAAGGAAAAAAAGUUGUUUAUUUAUGAACUUUUCAGAAACAAAAGUGAAAUGGAACUCAAUUUUAUCAUCUGCAGUGUUCAACAUAAGAAAUAUCAUUCCUGUGAAAUGUGUAGUGCAGCAACCACCCACCUGCUCUAGUAACAUAAUGGACAGAAUUCCAACGAGGGCAAGCAUGAGGGCAGUGCUCCAUAGAAACCUGGCUCUCAUUUUGUUUUGUGGACAUCAUCACCCGUUCUCACUUCAACAGAGAUGUGUGUGUACAAAAACAUAUCUGCACCCACCCGAAGAUGGCAGCAACAUGAAGAGAAAAUGAAAAGGAAUGCUGCUUGUAUUGAAAAUAAAGCAAUAUAUGAGUAAAACAUCAUUCCUGGGGUUACCUAUCCAAUUGAAGGAGAAUCAUAUUCAUGCCACACUGCGGGACAACCAUUCAUGGACAGCUAAUUGAUGGACGUUUAAAUCAUUGGCCUUAGAUAAUCCAAUCAUUACAGUUCCACAGUUUGCUAUCUGCAUCAGCAAAGCCGACGAACACGUUAGUGACAUUUUUCUUUAAAGGAAAAAGAAAACAGAACAAGAAAGAGAUGCAGUAUGCUGGGCCGAAACAAUUCAAUAGAAAUUUCUGCAGAUACAUGUGACAAAUUUUUCUCCUCUGCCCUGUUCCUUUUAUUUUAGUAAUUGAACUCUGAAACUUUGAAAAGAAUUCAGCAGGAUUGUUCACUCACUCUUUAAAUCUUAGAUAGGGGAUGAAACAGGAUACUCCUUACAUCAUUUAAGUUAUGAGCCAGCACUAUUUAUGUGUGUGUGUGUGUACACACACACACACACACACACACACACACAUCAAUCAUUAAAGUUAUGAACCAGCACCAUGUAUGUGUGUGUGUGUGUAUAAUGUGUCUAUAUAUAUAUUGCAACAAAAAAUAUGGCGAAACAACUAUAAAUGGUUAACUACAAAAAUGAAAGAAAAAUCGCUAUGUAGAUUUUAUGUAGAAAAGUUGAGACAAUCAAUAUAACAAAUAAAGAUAAAGUACCUGACAUUAGAGAGUUGAGAGUGAAAUGAAAAGCAAAAGUUUUGGUGAUAGAGAGAGAGAGAGAGAGAGAGAGAGAGAUCAUAUCAUGAUCACUUUGUCAUCUAUCUUUAUGCAAGGAAUAUGAGCUAUCUUUCUCCAUUCUUUUCCCUUCUUGUUCUCAUACCUCUUCUUCAUAGAGGGGCAUCUGGUGAUGUUCAGGAAAGAAAUAGAUGCCGGAAAACCCUGUUUUGGCAGGAAGUCGAGACUAUCACACCUUCCAAUAUAUAGCUUUUGAAGAGAAGUGCGGUGUUGAAGUCCAUUUCUGUCGCAGCUGUUCCUUGAGCAACAUCUUCAACACAUCCUCGCUGCUGAUCUGAAAUCUUCGAAGGGAGACAAGUCGUUGCAAACCCCAGUUCUCCACUGAAGGCCUCAAUUUCUCACAAUCUCUAUUAUGAAAUGUUUGUAGGUUGGGAGGCAAACCCCUUUCACCAAAUGACACAAGAUUUGGAAGAUCCCAGGUGCUCAAUUUUUGAAGGGUGGUGUGGGUGUGCGUAUGCUUGGGCAAUAACUUCAUAUUAUCGAUCCCCAGACUCCGAUAUGAAAUUUUUGCUAUCGCAUCCCUUUGACGUUGGCCAAUCUUUCAUUUUGCUCCCCAAUCCAUCCCCUCGAUGUCCUGGAGGAAAGACUGAAAAGAUCUUUUAACUUGAAAUGCAGAAAACAGGACAAUUACAAAAUUAUAAUUUGCAUAAUAUGUAUCUUCUACUUACUUUGUGUUAAGAGCCUCAUCACAGAGGAAAUUUAAAAGCUUAAGGCAUCAUAUCCAUCCUCACCUCCACUAAAACACUCUGCGGGCAGAUCCUUCAACCUUAGCGACCCUGGACGCAGAGAUCAGGUUCUCCAAAUCUUGGAACCAUGAGCAGUUGGUGCUUGCUUGCUCUAGAGGCCUUAGGAAUAAUGCCUUCACAUUUGUCCCUACUUUUCCCAUUUAUCAUCGCAAUCAAACUCUGAAAGUGGAAACAAAAUUUAGACAUGAUUUGACAAGGAAAGAUAGCAAUGUGAAAGUUUUAGUGGGAGCAGAGUAGUAAUCACUUGAGGUGUACCAAGAUGCAAAAUAAUAAGAAAAUUUAGGAACCAGUUUUCCUGAAUUUCUUAUUCCUAAAAUAUUGAGUAAACAACUCUAGUAGAGAAAUUCAAAUUUUACUUGUGAUGGAAAAGAAUAUAUAUAUAUAUAUAUAUAUAUAUAUAUAUAUAUAUAUAUAUAUAUCAAAGUCCUUCACAAAAAUUGCUUGUUUCUUCUCAUCGAUAUUGAAUGCAGAUGUCAACUCAAGCACAUUCCUUUUUCAUACCUUGUCUCAGAAAGAUACCUCAAAUUCAAAGUUGAAGAUACUAUAAAUUAAUGAGUGAUCAAAGAAAACAAGCAUAUGUCUCAGUGGAACCUAAUUAGCACAGCUUCUUCAAAUUAAAUUCCAGUUUGUUACGCAUUCAAGUUUGACAAUCUGGAUCUUUUCCUCAUCUUAAGAUGAAUGUGCAUUCUACCACGCUCAAAUCAUAUCAGUAUGAGAAAGGGAAAAAAAACAUCAUCCAGGGUUACCUCCUCGCCCAUGCAGGAGAAUCAUAUUCUUUACAGAUAGCCAUGGCACGAUUCAACAACUGGUAAUUUAUGUAAGCAAACACACGUUGCCCUUGGAUGAUAUUGUCCUGAAAUUUAAAGGACCACGGUUUUGUUAGAGUAGCGUAGUUGAAUUAAACAAUUAAAAACUGACUGAUUCAUUGAUUAAUUAAACAGAGUAUACGUAUAGAUGACUGUAAACAAUUGAAGAGAAACUUCUACAGAAUCUGAAUCUUGGUUAUGGAACGAAAAUGGUGGUAUGUACGUACCUGACUAUGACUUGAGGCCUCAAAUGAUGACUUGAUCGUCUAUCUUGAUGCAAGGAAUGUGAGCUAUCUUGCUCCACUCUUGUCCCGUCUUCUUCUGACAACUCUUCUCCAGGGAAGAACACUUUUGGAUGCUCAGACAAGAGAGCGAUGCCGGCAAACCCUCUUUUGGCAGGAAUUCGAGACUACGACAAUCCCAAAUUUCGAGCUCUUGAAGAGAAGUGAGGUGUUGAAGUCCCUUUCCCUCCAAAGAUUUCAGACUUUCCAUUCCAGAGAUUACGAGAGAGUGAAGAGUGGUAGGUAGCAGCUGUUCCUUGAGCACCGUCUUCAACAGAUCCUUGCGGCUUGAGAUCCGAAAUGUUCGAAGGGAGACAAGUCGUUGCAAACCCCAGUACUCCACCGAAGGCCUCAGUUUCUCACAACCACUGAUUGCAAAUGAUUGUAGGUUGGGAGGCAAACCCCCUUCUGCAAAUGACUCGACAUUUGGAAGAUUGGAUAUACUUAAGUCUCGAAGGGCGGUGAGGGUGUGUAUUCGGUCGGGCAAUAACUUCAAAUUCUUGCAUCCACAGACUGUAAAUCGAGCCAGUUUGGGAGUGCGCAAUCCCCCGUGGGGAAAAGAGACCAGAUUUGGACAGAAAUAGAUAAGGAGAUAGUCGAGAUGAGUGAGAUUUUCGUCAUCAGCUCCUUCUCCAAUGGCAAGGGAUUCUAGAUUUUUACUGCCCCAGAUAUAAAGAAAUGAAAGUUUGGGGAAAACGCCCAGCGGGAAGGACCUCAGUGAAUCACAGCUGUCCCUCAAAUCCAAAUUUCGAAGGGAUGUCAAUUUGGCCAUCAUCUCAUGAGAUAGGAAUUCUAAUCUCCUGCAAUUUUCUAUUCCAAGAUAUGUCAACGAAGUGGGUAGACCGUUUCUCGGGAACGACAAGAGUGACGCGCAGUUAACGAGACUCAAACUUUGAAGACAACUGCUGAAGUGCGGCUGCAAGCAAUCCGUGCGACUAAAAAUUUGAAUCUCAAGCGUCCGAAGCGAGGACAGCGACUCCGUCUCUAGUAACGACGAUAGACCAGGGCAUCUAACUAUCUUCAGUUGUUUAAGAGAUUGUCGCAAGGACUCCGUGUUGAAGAUGAGAGACCAAGGUAUCCAUCUUGUUCUGGUAGCCCUUUCAUGUAGAACCCCGCAGUCUGACACCCAAAGCUGUCUCAAUGAAGGAAGAUGAUCGGGCAAGUUUCCCUUCAGCUUCGGACAAUUCUCUAAAAUGAGCACCUCAAGACGAGGAAAGUC
rnacentral:lncRNA from 1 species